rnacentral:lncRNA from 1 species
AUUUGAGUAAGAAGCUGGAUAAAAGUAGAGACGCACAAAUUUUGGGCCAGGCAAGACUGGAAAUGUGUAAGUGAAUUUAGAGUGAAAAAUACGGGCUGUCAUGUAUGGGACUUGGUCGACAGAGGGGUCUUGAGUGGAGGCUUCAAACACAGAUGAGGCUUCUGGGGGGUUAGAGGCAGCAAACUUAGACUGGGAAUCACCAUCCCAGCUGCGACCAUCUGGAGAUGACAAAUUAGAGGAUGCACCACAGUUAAGGAGUAUUAGAUCAGUGGGGCUGUAUGGCAGCAAGUAAUCUUCAGUAGCAGUACCAUAGAGGAAGAGAUGGAGGGGAGGGAGAAGGUAGAGAAAGAUGAAGAUGGACAUUACUAUGCUAGUUCUUUGGUGGAGUAAAUUGGAGUAAGAAAAAAUAUCUAUUAAAUGCAAAGAUUUUGAUUUAAGGGAAGAUAAUCAAUGGUGUCGCUGUCUCCAUACAGUAACAUUUUUGCUCAGGUUGAGAAUAAUCCAAUAAUAUAUUUGAGACCCGUCGGAGAAGAAAAUUCGACGAUAUGGCUAAUGGGACAUAUUGGUCAGCUUUGGAUGGCUGCUUCCCGUUGUGUGGUUCUGAAUUCCGCAAUAAAGCCGCAAUGAACAAUCUAAUUUCAACAAAGGAUCGACCUAUUCCUUUUUGGUUCAUGAGUGUGCCUUUUUGGGCUGAGCUUAUAACCAAAAAUCUUCUCAUCUGGUAUAGUAAUCGCUUACUGCAAAACUUGGUGGUAAUGAGAAAUCUUUCUUCCCCUUAAUCGAAGAAUAAUGGAUUUACCUCUUGAUAUAUCUGGGACAUAUUUGGUAUCUAUUAGAAAAUAAUAUAAAUUAUAUAUUGAAAUUUUAUUUAAAAAUUUAAGUAAUUGGGUUGAGAUGGUUCUUUGAUAUGAUAUCAGAGUCUUAAUGACAAAACAUGCAUGAGAUUAAAUCUCAUCAUUCUCAUCUAUUUGAUAAAAAUUAAGCACAAGGUAAUGUGAGCCUAUGCAAGUUUAAAGCUCAAAAGACUUUCACUUGAAAGAGUGUGUUAGAGAAUAAUAUAAAUUAUAUCUUGAAACCUCACCUAAAAAUUUAAGCUAUUGGAUUGAGAUAGUUAUUUAACAGUACAUAAUAAAAUCAAUAGCAACAGUGAAGAAGAGGCAAGCUGUCCUCUCUUCCCUGGAGAUGGUAAUUUGCUCUCUCUCAUCCUGUUAAGCUUGAUUUCCAUACAUGAGGGGAAACUGAAUGGAGUUCUCGGUGGAUGAAAAAUAAUUGGAAUAAUAAAUGAAAUGAAAUUGAGUUUCAUUGUUGAAAAAAUCAUGCUGAAAUCACUUCAAUCCUAAGGAAAAUACAAGUCUUCUACAAUGAUCAGGUCUAGCAAAUGUUCUUAUCUUGUACAAACACGACACCUAAUGCAAACCUGUGAACAUUCCAAGAUCUUUUUUUAAACUUCAUUGCUUGCAAUAGAUCAAGGAAGCUUCGCCAUUAAUUAGUGCACGAGAAAGACAAUCACUAGAUAUCGUAUCAACAUAGCAAUUGCUUGCUAUUUUCUUCAAUUAUAAAUCAUUAUAAAGUAUAUACAAAUUUUAUUGUUAUUGUUGGGAUAUUGCCAUUAUUGGGCAACAUGUGCAGCCUACCCUAUAAAGAGUAGGGUUACCAUUUGUCAAUGGUAGUUGCACCCACCAUUGAUAAAUGUAUCAACCCAUGUGCAACUGUUGUUGUUGAAGAAGAACAACCACCAUCCUUGCCUAUAAAUAGACAACAAGAGAGCAGAACAAUUGAGAGAGGGAUUGUGAGAAUGUAGAGAGUGUGAAGAGAGAAAGAAAGAGAAGGGCUGCCACCAGCAGCCCUGCUGCCUUAUGCAGCAAUGAGAGAUGAGAGUUGAGUGGAUGUGAUCCUCCUCCAUGUGUUGUAUUCUUUCUCUAUCUCUAAAUAAAAUGAACCUCUCCCAUGGAUGUAGGCGGUUUUGCCGAACCACGUUAAAUAUUGUGUCAGUGUGCUUGCCCUCCGUUGAGCAAAGAUCAGUACAUCACUGGUCGGAUUUCCCAACAAUUGGUAUCAGAGCUGAUGGUUUAAAGUGGUGUUUGAUUUUUGCUCAAAAAAUGAAAGUUGUCAAAAUUGUGUUUUGACCAUACCACCGUGUAGAGGAGGAAGAGACGAAGCCACUGUUGAAAACUGCGUUGAAAUCGGACGUCGGACAUGGCCGCACGUGCCGUCACGCGCCAGCGUCACACGUGUCUUCUUCGCCCGGAUGGGCUGACCCGACCCGAAUACCAGACGACCCGACCCACGUGGCUGACUCGGAUAAGGAUGACAUCAGUAUGCCGUAAUUAUGACGUCAUCAUGCACAGUAGCAUGGCCCAGGAUGACAUCAACAUGAUGUAAUGGUGGCGUCAUCAUGCACAGUUAGCACAUUGGACCCACUAACACGUCAUCAGCCGUGAGCCGAGCUGAUCCGAGCGGCGAGCCGAGGGAUAGGAUUCUGUGCAGCUGAGUCUAUGUGCAAUCGGAUCUGAGAUUGAAUCUGAGCCGUUGAUCAAGCCAGAAUUGUUUUGAUCAAAGCUUAGCCGUCUGAAGUGCGAUUUGGACGAUUCAAGACAUGUUUCCAGCUAAUUUGAUCAUUCCAGAUGCAAUGGUACGGUCCGAUCAUUGAGAUUUGAGACCGAAAAUGGCGGUGGUGAAUUAUUAAAGAGAGAUUGCCCGAUCAGGAGGCAUCUGAGGGUCUUGAUGGAGGUCGAUGAAGAUGAUGAAGAAGAAGGUGCACAUGUUUUCCCAAUUAUAUGUGUUGAACUAUUAAAUGGGAAAAUGUAAUGCCUUGAUGGAAGGCAAAAUUAGGACACUCUGGACACCCAGUUAUGUGGACAAUUAGAGGUGGAGAGUGAAAAUUGACGAAGACCAAUCUUGACGAAUCUAAGCACUGGUAGUCUCGCUAGAUGUUGAGAAAUCAGGUAUAAAACCAAGAUACCCAGAUCACUUGUAAAGGAAAGCCGCAACAAAGCUAGCAAAUGGUUGUAUAUACGGAAAGACAGUACGAUGGAUAGAUAUGGCCUAAGAAGUUAUGUCUAGGAGAUUAGGUUUUAAGUGGGACCGUUGUGACCCCUCCAAUCUUUCCUGGGAACUUGCUUAGUGGAAGGAUUAUCCAUAUGGUACUAUUUUCGUAUAUGUAACAGUUUGUAAUGAAAUUUUUGAAGACUAGCAGGAUGACGCCACAAGGGGAACAAUUGGGUUCCGUAUGAUCAAGGAUCUGAUGGAGUAGUGAUUUCUUCAAAGAAGCUAGAUUCGGUGACUGUGAUUUCUCGAGGGGAGAAUUGAUGAAGACCCUGAUAAUGGAAGAGAAAUACAGCAAGGGGAUAAAGAUUGGCACCCUAUUUUGACUUGGACAAGUGUUGUGACAGGAUCAGCUGCUAUCAAACAUAAGCAAGGAAUAUGGAGAAAUCUGGAGAACAGAAAUUGCACGAGAGCACACGAAGAUUAUGCAGGAGUACCCGUAGGAUCCAACGAGGUACUGUAAUGAGAAGUUUAUUAUGUUGUUGUUGAAGAAGAACAACCACCAUCUUUGCCUAUAAAUAGACAACAAGAGAGUAGAACAAUUGAGAGAGGGAUUGUGAGAAUGUAGAGAGUGUGAAGAGAGAAAGAAAGAGAAGGGUUGCCACCAGCAGCCCUGCUGCCUUAUGCAGCUGCUGCCCAAUGCAGCUGCUGCCCUAUGCAGCAAUGAGAGAUGGGAGUUGAGUGGAUGUGAUCCUCCUCCAUGUGUUGUAUUCUUUCUCUAUCUCUAAAUAAAAUGAACCUCUCCCAUGGAUGUAGGUGAUUUUACCGAACCAUGUUAAAUAUUGUGUUAGUGUGCUUGCCUUCCGUUGAGCAAAGAUCAGUACAUCAUCGGUCGAAUUUCCCAACAGUUAUACUCAUCAAAAACAUGAGUAAAAAGAAAGAAGAAGGGUUCAGACAGUCACCCUACACGUAGAGCAAACUGAUCCACCCAUCUUGGUGGAGCUCACAUAGACGGAUUGGGUCACCUUGCGCUUUAUAGGUCGCUGUUGAAAUCGAAACCCACGCAGACAGAUAAAGAACCGACCCCUUUGUCCCCUCUUCCUCGAUCAACUACCAUGUUUGCAUCGAUUGUAGCAAGUGCAAGGCCGAGAGUUACCAUUGAUCGGUUUUGCACAGUUGCCAUAUAUUUGUGCAUUGCAAAUUGGUUGUCGUUCUAAACUCUUAGGCCAUGUUUGUUUCCUAAAAAGUAGUUUUUGGGAAAUAAUUUUCCAGACUUUCUUAUGUUUGUUUACUAUUAGAAAAGUUGGUCAAAUGAAAACACUUUCCGGUCAACGGAAAACACUUUUUAGUCAAAGAAAAUUUUAGCUUGGUUUUCAGGAAAGUGUUUUCCAUUUUAGCGGUGUUUAUUUUCUGAAAAGUGGUUUCCAGGAAAUCACUUUCCAAACUUUCUUGUGUUUGUUUGCCAUUAGAAACGUUGGUCAACAGAAAAUACUUUCCAGUGAAAGGAAAAUUUGACUUGGUUUUCAGGAAAGUGUCUUCGUGGAAAAUUUGGGCGGAAAACACGUUCCGAAAGUUGUGAAAAAUUUAGAAAUGUCAUUAUUUGCUGAUUAUAUCAAAUUUGAUCCUUAAACUUUUGAUUGCUAUAUAUAUUUUGUUUUGAAUAUUUAUUUUUCAAUUUCAUCUCUUAAAAUUUUUAUUUUAUAUUAACUUUGGUCCUUAUUUUUAUAAUUGCUAUUUUCUUUUUCCUUAUCAUUUUUUUAUUGAAAUUUUUUAUCUAUCAAAUUUGGUCCUCAUUCUUUUGAUUGUUACUUAAUUUUUUAGAUUUGAUCGAUAUUAUUUUGAUUAUUAUUUAUUUUAUUUGAGAUAAUUUAUGAAAUUAUAUUUAUUUUUUCAAUUUCAUUCAACUUUUUAAUUUAUAAGAUUUGUUCCUCGUUAUUUUAAUAAACUUGAGAAAAAUAAAAUAUUAAUAAGUUAUUUUCCAACUCAUUUUCCAUGACAUAACCAAACACUGGAAAAUGUUUUCCAACUUAUUUUCCAUUACACUACCAAAUAUCGGAAAAUACUUUCUCGGAAUUCACUUUCCGAAAAGAAACUACUUUCCAACAAACAAACGGGCCUUAUAGUUAAUAUAGUUACCUUGAGAGGCCAGUAGUCUCUGAUGCACUUCAGAUUCCAUAGAGAACUCCUCUUCAUUACCUUCACCGAUUGUGGCAUUGAAAAUUGGACUCGAGUUUGCUUUCAAGAAAGGCAGCUGCAGAAGCAGAUGUGAUCACCAAAACAAGCAGGAUAGUUAAAGAGAGCCACCAGAGGAAUUCAAUACUUACGUUAGGCCUCGUCUCUUUCUGUCUGUACCCUUCUGUUACAGAGUUUGAAGAGCACUAAAUAAACGUCACUGCGAAGAAUGCUUCGAACUCUGGAUAUGGAGUGAAAGGCUAGCUUUUUUCCAUUGACUUGCUUUUUUUGUGAAGACUUAGGUCUUCACAUGAAUGUGAUUUUGAUGUUUUAUACUAUCUUAAUCUAAUAAUUUAAAUUAUUAGAUAAAAUUAUAAAAUAUGAUAUAUAUUGUUCAAGAAUAUUUGACAAAACAUCCAGCCACUUAUAUAUAUAUAUAUAUAUAUAUAUAUAAGAUCAGGACCAUAAUCUGGAUUUUCGUUAGUGAAUUCAUCCUCAUCGGAACUUGAUAUUUCAUAUAAGGCUUCUUGGAGUUUUUUCUUGUAUUCUGACGUUGAGCUUGAUGAUGCAAGGUUUUCUUGAAUUCAACUUUUAGAGGUGAGAAACGUAAAUUGCCUUCUUGAGAUAGAGUUGAUGGGUAUGCUUGCAGCUAUGGAAUUUGAUGUGAUGAGAUUAUUGCCAAGCAUGCACAAUUUCAGAACAAGCUUGAGCUUCUCUGAAUUUGGGUCCACCAUUUGACUUUGAUUUUUCUCAUGAGAUCUAAAGAGUAACCAAUAUCUUUAUUUACAUCAUUCAUUAUAAUGGAGUCCCAAGAUAGCAUGAGACACCAAAGGUUGAGAUGAAAUAAAAAGAGGUAGGAAUUGAAUUCAAAGGUAUUUUUACUGUAAGCAAUUCCAAUCCUUUGUAUGAUUUUUUAGGGAGAAUCUCACUUAUUGAAGAAAAAUAUUGCCAUCAAUUGUUUGACAACUAAGUUGGAAAAUUCUUUGGAAAUGUUUUGAGAAAAUCUUUCAAGGUGCAGGGUUUUGAUUCAUCUCUUGAAAGGUUAAAACCUUUUGAAUUUUUAUUUUUGAAAAAACAAGAUUGUUUACAUCUUGAUUAUGAGUUAUUUCAACAAAGUCAAUAUCAACCAAAAUAAACUCAUAGAAUUGUUUUGUUUUCAACAUAUUUUCUAAAAUAACUUGAAAAUAAUAGCUUCUUGACUUGAAAGGCUUAAAGCUUUUUUUAGGAAAAAUUUGGAGGGUAAUUAACACAAGUGAAAGUACAAGCAAUGGGACAAUAGCGAGAAAAAGAAAAUUAAUAGUUGAAAUAGAGUAGAGCACAUGAAUUCUAAUUUAUAGUUUUAUUGAUGAAGAGAAAAAUUCACUAUUUCUUUUGCCUCUUUAUGAUGUUUUCAACUUUUUAAAUAAGCUAAAAAAAUCAAACUAAUCAAACUAGAAAACCCUAAAAUAAAGAAAAAAAAUAUUAAAAUUCCUAAACAAACUUAGAGAAAUAAAAUUACUAUUCUCAAUAUUUAAUUUCCUAAACUAAAUAGAAAAAAUAAAAUCACCGAAAAUAUUUUCCUAAACUACAUAGAAAAUAAUAAUAACUAAGAAAUUUUAAUUUCAUAAAAACCCUUGGCAUCAACAAUAAUGUUGUAAAAGGUGUAUUAAUUUUGGGAUUGAACAAACAAGGGAGUUUGGAGAGAUUAAGAAUAAUUUAUAGGUGAGGUGUUUGGACUAGAUCAUGCUGAUGAAAGGAUUCAAAAUUGAUUAUUUAAGACACUAGCCCCAAGGAGGUCAAACCCUCCCUGAAAUAAAUUAAUAUCUUGAAUGCUUGAUGUUGUGGUUUGAAUUGGUCUUGAUGGUGUAAGAGCAUAUGAUUAUUUUGACUUAUUUUGAGCCUAGUAAAGACUCUUUGGAUAAAAGACUCUUUUACUUCUUUCAUUAAUUCAAUCUCCAAAUCAUAUUUUAAUAAAUUAUCUUGUUACCUGGCAAAACUUUGUUUUGACACAAUAUUUUGAAUAUUUUUUUCAACAACUUAUUUUACAUAUUGACAAUUUAUUUGUAAAAGAAAUUUCUGGAAAAUAAAUCAUCUUGAAAAUAUUAGAUGUAUAAAAUAAUUAAUAAAAUUUUCUUUUUGAUAGUUGAAUAAUUUUCUUGAGGAUCCAACCAAAUACCUAAAUGAUAUUGCACUAUAUGUUAUUGACUUUGAAAAUUUUGUUUGAGAAUACCACUGUAACUAAUAUCAAAGGCAUCGGUUUCAACUAUAAAAAAGGCCUCUAGAUCAUAAAGUCUUAAACAUGAAAACUCUUGACUUGACUUUUAAGAGUAUUCACAAUUUUGAUCAUUUGAUGAUUGAUUUUAGACAGGAGGGUUUUUCUUAAGUCUUUUGUACAAAGGUUGACAUAUAGUUCUAUGAUUUGGAAAAAUAUCUAAAACAUAAUCGAGGCAUCCCAUAAACUUUUAAAGCUAGGUUUUACCCUUGAUCUUAUUUAUGAAUUUAAUGGUAAAUUUUAUUAUAGUGACAAGGGUUAUUGAUAAAUUAUAAUUUUUAAGGUUGAGAAAACUAAUCUAUUUUGUUUGAUAAUAUUAAGAAACGUUUGUAAGUUGUUGAAAUGUUUGGUUAUUAGUUUUAAAAAUAAAAGAACAUCAUCUAUGUAUAUAAUCAUAAUUUUGAAUAUAGAUUAAAGAUGUCAUUCAUGAUGCUCUGAAGUUUUGAAGGAGUAAUUUUUAGUUCGAAAGACAUUAUAUCUCAUUUGUAAUGACCAAAUGAAAUAAUGAAUGUUGUUUUAUAAUGAUUUUUUUAAUCAAUUUAGACUUGUUAGAAUCUUGAUUUCAUAUCAAUUUUUGAAUAUAUUGAAGAAUUUUAAAGUCUUCUGAUAAGAUCUCUCUUAUUGUGUAUUGGAUAUCUAAUAUAUUGGAGCACUUUGUUGAGAGGCUUGUGAUUUAUGACAUGUAUUAGUGCAUGAUUAGUACUUAAAAGUGUAUUUUAUCAAUGUUUUAUAUUAUCAUUUUGUACUUGAAGUAUCAAUAACUCCUUAACUAGAGCAUGUUUUAUAAUAACAAGUCUGAUAAUAUAAGAUAACUUUAAUUUAUGGUAAAUGCUCAUUUUAAAUACAGACAUAUCUCACAAUUCAAAGGAUUGAUUGCUGUGAUUAACUAUUGAAAGUGAAAAGACAAAGAAAAGGCUAAGCUUAGAAAGGAGAUGCAGAUUCAAUUCAAAUUGGAACACUGUUAAGUUAUUGGGUCAUAUCUGGAGCUACAGUUCUUGGAUUUCAGUUUGGUUUAUAUGGCUAGAAAAAUAAGAAAUAGGCUUACAAUGUUCAUGAAUAGUGAAAGACCCAAAUCUUCCGUUUUCAAAUUCAAAGUUUGGCCACAAAAGAGAAGUCAGAAUCUGUCAUACAAUCCAGCCCAAACACUUCUCAUACUUUUACCCAUAGCUGGAGUUUUAAAAGGAAAAAUGAUGUCAAAUUUGGUGGCUAGAAGGAUAAGACAAUUUCCAAAAACUUUCAUGAAGACGACCUGCUCCAAUUCUGAUGUUAGAAAUGACAUUUCAUCCAGACAAGAGCUUGAGGGCUGUCCAUUACGUCCACCAGAAGCACUACUCAAUAUUUUAGCCAUAUCUCAAUCUCUAGUGAUCCAAAUGCUCUAAAAUUUUAUGGAUGGAAAGAUGAGAUGAUUGCAGACAACUUUUAUGAAGAACACUUUGCCAAAUGUUGAUUGAAUCAAUGUCAUUUCAUCCAGCCAAAAUGCUUAAGUGUUAUUGUCCACCAAGUCCACUAAAUCAAUAGUUGGCCACUACAUCAAUAAUCAAUUACCAAAUGAAUAGUUCCGAAUUUUAGCCUAUAAAAGGAGACAAUUGCAAUUCAUUUAGGCAUCUUGGUUCUUAGAUCAAGAUCAUGUUCUUGCUCUCUCUUUAAAUUUUUGUAAUGCUUAAGUUUUGCUUUCAUUAAUCUCUUGUUUAUGCUUUUCAUUUUCUUUACUAUACUUAGUUAACUUAUAUCAUGUUUAUGUUCAUAUAUUGUUUAUUUAUGUUUUUAUUUUUCAUAAUGUCGAGCUAAGUUAAUUAUGUCAAGGUGAAAAGGUUUCACUAAUGGUGUUAGAAUAUGUAUAAUAUAAACUCAAUAUGGACUUCAAUGUUUAUAUCCAAGAAAGUUUGUUAUUAAUAUGUCAUAUCUUUUUAUCUUAUUAAUUCUUAAUACCUUGCUUGUUAAAUGGUUAAUCUAGAUUUGUGUUGUAUAACACUUGGUAAAUCAAAUGCUUGAUCCUUCAUAGUCUUCGGUCAACAUCAUUGUUAUGAGAAGAACUUGAUUUGUUGUUAACAUAAGUUAACAUCAUGAAUUCCUGAUAAUAUUUAAAAGUAUGGUGUUACUAAAAUAAGAUAAUUAAUAUGAUCAUGUUAAAAAUUUAUAAUUAACUUUUACGGAUAAAUCAUCCGAUUGGAACCUCCUUUGUGUGUGGUUUCCAAUUGAGUAAUAAAAAGAGUUUAUACUAUACUUAUUUCUAAUACCAUUAGUGGACCCUCUAACCUUGACAUUUAUUUGUAUUAUUGUUUAAUCCUCACAUUAAUCUUAUAUCUCAAAGAUCUCUUUAUAUAUAUAUAUAGUUAACUUUCCUGUGGAUCGACCCCGGUCUUGCUGAGUUAUUUAUUACUUUGACACUCCUUCACUUGAGAGAAGACAUCAAUCUUUUUGUCAUGUCAAUGCACUUCUUUCUAUUUCAGCUUGAUUCCAGACAUAAAAAGGUGGCACAUAACCAUGAUGAUUUACUAGGGCUUAUAAGACACUUUUUGAUUAAUUUGAGGUAAUUUCCAAUUAUCAUUGUACGUGACUUUAUCUCAUUAUCAAAGUUUAGGAACUUGAAUGUUUGAAUUUUGAGAGUUAGCUUUAAUAAGGAGAGUUUAAUUUAUAGAUGAAUUUUUGAGAGGUUUUGGAGCUAUGUUUGUAUCCAUGAUUUUGUAAUAUAUUCUAUAGAUGAUGACUAUAUUCAUGGAAUCUUGAAGCAUAUCAGUACGAGUCUUAACAAGUCUCAAUAUUUAGAGCUAAGGUUUUCACUAUAAUAUCUAGGUUGAAUAAUGAGAUAGUGAAAUUUCGAUAACAAUUCAAGUAUGUAGAACCAUUAACAAGAUUUGAUUGAAAGAUUGUAAGGAGUGAGUUUGAAAAGGUCAUAAAUUUGUGGUCUCUUGAAAACAUAAGUAUGGGAGAGUCUAAUCCGAGAUGAUGAAUUGGUUUGAGUACAAUCUGUAUUAGACGGUGAUCAUUUUCGGUUUGGUUUUUUUAAAAAAACCAAAACCGGUUCAAACCGACCGGUUUCAGUUUGACUCGGUUUUUUCUGGUUUGGAUAUGUUUUUUUCGAUUUAGGUUUGGUUUGGUUUUUCAGUUUCAAACUUAUAAAACAAAAACCAAACCGAACUGGUCGGUUUUUCUGGAAAGAUAUAAUUGUUUCAAAUUGUUUGAUGAAGGCUGGUCUAGAUCAUAAAUAAUUGUCAUUACACAGUGCCGGUCUAACUUGAAAGAUGUUAAUGCCCCAUUAAUUGCGACGCCUAAGCUCAUAAACGAUAUCCAUGAAUUAUGAUGACCAUUAAGGAAGCUCAUAGGAACUCCUUAAUUUCAAGUUGCUUCUUAAUUUGUCUUCUUGGACAUGCAUGUGAUCUAAAGGAACAAAGGGAAAUUAAAUGCUUAAGCAUGAAUGUGAUCGUUCUAUAUAUGUUCGUCUUCAAGCUUUGAAAUUUUUAUAGCUCAAUUAUUAUAAUUUUUUUUAAUUUUUUUAUGUGGGAAAAGAGUAUCAAAAUUGUGGGAAAUAUAUAUUAGAAUAUUUCAUGGACUGCACUGCUCUAUGAUUGUGCAUUUAUAACCCAAUUAUUAUUAUUUUUUCUUUUUCCUGUUGAUUGCAUUUUGGAAUCCAUUUGAUUAGACAUAAUUUGAACUGGAAGAAUGAAUUGGGUUCACCUUCAUUUGUUCUGUUUUAAUGUGACUGAGAGCCUUAUUUUUUUAAAUGUAUUGUCACUCAUUUAGAUACUGGCUAAGUAGAGUUUGCAGUCAGAUUAACAUACAGUAUGCAUUCAUUCCAUUAAACCCUAAUGGAGUGAAUGAAUAAAAUGACUUUUAUUAAAUGUUCCUCUACUACUUGGAUGCUGAACUGGAGUAUUGGAGGUUCCCACAUUGCCCCAUUGUUGGUAUAUUCACCACAAGAAUUCACAGUUUUAUCGAGGGCAAUAUUCCGUCGGUGUGUGAUUGAUAGUACUUCGGUAAAUUAUUUACCGACUAAAUUACCGACAGAAUACGUCUGUCAGCUUACCUUUCAUCGGUGAUUCCACAUUCCGUCGCUUUAUUGAUCGGAAAAACAAAAAAAAUCAUUUACCGACGGUUUUACAGACGGAAUUUGCGUGCCAAAAAAAAAAAGUUUCCCGCUUCAAAAAUACCGACGGAUUUUUAUUCCAUCGGUGAUAUCACAAGUCACCGACGGUUACUUUCCGUCGGUAAAUUAGUCGGUGAAUUGUUGAAAUACCGAUAGAAUAUAUUGUCUGUCAAUUCGUCGGUAACUUGUAAUACCGACGAAAUUAUUCCAUCGGUAAAUCUGUUGGUGAGUCAUGAAAACACCGACCGAAUUUAUCUGUCUGGAAAUUUGUCGGUGAUGGUUGCGGCUACUGUCUAAUACCGACGGAUUUAUUCCGUCGGUAAAUCCCUUUAUAAUUUUUUUUCUAUUUUUUUUAAUAAUUAUUUAGAAUACAUAAUAUAAAAAGGAUAUAAAUUAAUGGUAAUAAAAACCAAUUAUGCAAAUAAAAUUUAUAUUAAGCAUCAAAAACAAAAAAUGAAAGAUAAAUAAUAUUCAUUACAAAAUGAAAUGUUUCAAAAAAACAUUAAAUGAAAUUUUAAAUGUAAAUAAUGUUUAUUAAAAAUUAAUAUAGAGGAGGAGGAGGUGGAGGACGCUGGCUGUUAGGCGGCCAAAAAGGAUUGGGUGCACAUGUUCCACCUUGUGCCAUGUUCAUGACUAUUUGACGAAGCUCUUCAUAGGUCGCUCAUUAUUGUUCAGAAUCUGCUCUGCAUUGUUCUUUGAGUUGUGUGUACGCCUCUGACAGGUGGUCGCACUUUUGCUGCAAGGCCAUGAACUCCUUAGAUUGGGAGCUCGAUACUGAUUGGGAGCUCCUGACGGUUGAAGCAGUAUGGGUCGUCCGCAAGUUGUCGGUCGUAGUGUUGGAGAGCCCGUAAACCCGAUUUUUAUCGAGUCCACUUGAUGAUCCAGCCUCCAUCCACAAAUCCGGAUCGAAUUCCGGAUGGGUCGAAGGAUCGUCCCUGUAUGUCUCCCUCAACCGAUUAUUAUAGGUCUCCUGAAAAUAAAAUAAAAAGUAAUCAUCAUAUUCAAUUCAAUAAACAUAAUAAUAACUUACAAAAUAAAAUUGUUGAACAAACAUACCACAAAAUGUUGAGCACGGCUGUCAACGAACUGUUGCACCCCCUGUUGGCGGUCUUGACUCCGCACGUGCGUCUCCACAAAUAGCUCCAUAGGGCUCGGCUCACGUCCAAGAGACAUAGCCUAUAAUGAAAAAAAUUUAUUAACAACAAAUUAAUUAAACGAUAUAUUUCAUUUAAAUUAAUCUUACCAUCCGUUUUGCAUGUGCAGCAAACGGAACGGAGCCGCCGGUGUGCGUUGUCACCGAGCCAUGAAUUGGCAGAUUCCAGUUGCCAGCACCGGACUAUGAGCAUCGUGUGAACUGCUCAGACGUCACGUGCUGAAUAUAGUGCGGCCAUAUAUCUUCCGGGAAGUAUAUCGGUUUGAAAUCCCUCCAAACCGCAACAUCGUUCCAGCCUUGGAACCCCCUAUCCCUCGCAGGUUUUUUUGCCUUUUUUUAGGCUUCGUACCAAAAAUCACGCAACCUACUUCACGCAAGCAAAAAUUACAUUUCGAAACAUAAAUUUUUUUGUAAAAAAAAAAGUUGUAUUGUUUUCGUUGUUACCUAGUUGCUGCGUGAUUUUCCUACACCCUCCUCACAACAGUGUUAUAUUCCUCGUUCCAACAUAAUCGAUUAUGUGUAUAAAAAAAUAAUUUUUAAAAAUGUUAAUAAUUUAUUUACAAUUAUAUUAAGAAUUUAUUAGAAAUAAGCUGAAAAUUAUAUAUAACACGAACCUGAAAUCUGGAAAACCAUGGAUUGAUUUGAGGCAUCCAUUCAGGAUGCCUGGUUAUCUGACUCCAAUGAAACAAUGGAUUCUCCAUCGAUGAUUUAAACACCGCUGAUAUUACUCGGGCGACCUCAAUGUUUGUGAACCUGAAAAGAAAUGAAAUUAAUUAAAUAGUGACUUCAUAAAUUAUGUUUUUAAUUUUUUUUUUUAAAAAAACUAAAACCUUAACAAACUGACAUUGAAAGAUCGUCUUUUCAUUAUGCCUUGUACUUGCAGGAAAAUCGAUUUCGCUGUGAAGGCACGCCGCUUUUGGGCUGUGAAACAACGCUGGAAGAGGCAGCAUCGGUUGACAGCACAAGUGGUGUAGGUGCCUCUUCUUGAGAGUCACCUAAGGAAAUAUCUUCCUCGCUGCUAGACGAACCUGAUGCGUCCGGACGUGAAGCUCUGGUUUUCAUUCUGUGCAUCUAACCAGUUUUAUAUAAAUAAUUAUAUAAUUAAAUUGAAAUGUUAAAAAAAAAUUCGGCAACACCUCCCCUAUACUAGAUACUACCCAAAUCCACAAACUUGCAAAUAUUAACAAUAGCCACAACCAAUUGACCCAAUCUAUACUAAUUAUUCCAACAUAUUCAAUUACAAAUCCUAAGGUCAAUUCAACAUUAACAAUUACAAUUCAACAAAUUAUUCAAUAAUUAUGCCAAUACAACAAUAAAAUAUAUUCAAUAAAUUAAAAAAUAAUUAUAAACUAAAAAUUAAAAUCAAUGGAAACAAUUAAACACAAAUUAUGCAAUAAUAGAGUAAAAUUACUACGUAUUCCAACAUAUCCAAUUACUAAUUCUAAGGUAAAUUCAACAUUAACAAUUAUAAUUCAACAAAUUAUUCAAUAAUUAUGUCAAUACAACAAUAAAAUAUAUUCAAUAAAUUAAAAAAAUAUUUUAAACUAACAAUUAAAAACAAUGAAAAUAAUUAAACACAAAUCAUGCACUAAUAGAGUAAAAUUACUAAUUAUUACAACAUAUGCAAUUACUAAUUCUAAGGUAAAUUCAACAUUAACAACAAAUAUUCAACAAAUUAACUAAUAACAAUUAUGCCAAAACAACAAUAAAAAAUUUUCAAUAAAUUUUUUUAAAAAAACUAUAGACUUUAGGGAAGAAAUAUGCAUACCUUAAUAAUGUGUUGAAACAAAAAAUUUAUCUACAUUACAAAAAAAUACAACAAAACAAAAAACAUAAAAAGCAUAAAAAUAACUAUAAAUAAAAUAAAAUAAAAUAGAAAAAACACACAUACCUUUUAAUAUGAUGAAGAUUCACAACCAAGCUUGCUAGAGAUUCAACAAAGCUUGAAGAUUUGAGAGGAAAAAAAUCAAAAUUCUAAGAACUUAUAGAAACCUUAGGUCUAUUUUCACGGGCGACAAGCCCACCCAUACUCACUCUGGUCUAUUUUCACAGGCGACCUGCCCACACUCUCACAUUGGUCUAUUUUCACGGGUGACCUGCCCUUUUUAUUGGGUUUACCUAAGAUCCCAUCUUGAGAUCUAACAAGAACAAAAAUCGGUGUGUAGCUCGAUCAACCUGAAAUCCCAUCUAGUAAUUCCCUUUAGCUAGAGCCAAGGUCUGUGCGGUUAGACUGAACUGAGAUCCCUUCGCCGAUCCCCUUCAACCAGAACCAAAAUCCUUUCCAAUUAGGUUAAACUGAGAUCCCUUUGCCGAUCCCCUUUAACCAUAACCAAGGAAUGUGUGGUUAGACUGAACUGAGAUCCCUUCGUCGAUCCAUUUCAACCAGAACCAAAAUCCUUUCCAAUUAGGUUAAACUGAGAUCCCUUUAUCGAAAAUUAACCAACCAAGGAAUAGUUAGACUGAACUGAGAUCCCUUCGUCGAUCCCCUUCAACCAGAACCAAAAUUUUGGUUAAACUGAGAUCCCUUCGUCGAUCCCCUUAACCAUAACCAAGGAAUGUGUAGGGUUGGGCUAGACUGAGAUUCCUUUCGGCAAUCCCCUCUAACCAGAACCAAAAUCCUUUCCAAUUAGGUUAAACUGAGAUCCCUUUGCUGAUCCCCUUUAACCAUAACCAAGGAAUUAUGUAGGGUUGGGCUAGACUGAGAUUCCUUUCGGCAAUCCCCUCUAACCAGAACCAAAAUCCUUUCCAAUUAGGUUAAACUGAGAUCCCUUCGUCGAUCCCCUUUAACCAUAACCAACGAAUGUGUGUAGCUCGGUCAACCUGAAACCCCAUAUAGAGAUUCCCUUUAACCAAAGCUACAUGAGAUCCCAUCUAGCGACCUCAUUCAACUGGAACAAAAGAAUGUGUAAAAAGUGGUCUCAUUAUAAUGGGUGACCUACCCAAGUGGAAAGGAGGAAGAGUGGUCUCAUUCUUAUGGGUGACCUACCCAGGGGGAAAGAAUAUGAAGUGCGGUCUUAUUAUAAUGGGUGACCUACCCAAAAUGGAAAAAAUAUAAAGUGUGGUCUCAUUGUAAUGGGUGACCUACCCAGAUGGAAAGAAUAUGAAAAAGUGCGGUCUCAUUGUCAUGGGUGACCUACCCAGAUGGAAAGAAUGUGAAGUGCGGUCUCAUUGUAAUGGGUGACCUACCCAGAUGGAAAAAAUAUCAUGAAGUGCGGUCUCAUUGUCAUAGGUGACCUACCUAGAUGGGAAAAAUAUGAAAAAUGGUCUUAUUAUGACGGGCGACCUACCUAGAUGGAAAGAAUGUGAUAUGACAAGUGUGAAAAAUAGGACUUACCUGGCGAAGUCUUGAGGGGAUGACAGAAGAUGGGCUGGAAAACUUGGUGCUUCAUGAUAAUCCCCGAUCAUAGGGUUUGAAAACUUGGUGUUUCCUGACUGCAAGAGUUGAAAACUCGAGGCUUCACGAUUGCAAGGUUGAUCUCUUCAUUUCUUUGGGAUUUUCCUAAUGGCAAGGUUCAUCCCAUCAUCCUUUUAUUCCAUGAUCAAAAUCGAUUCUUUAUUAUCAUCACCAUAGUGCUUCUUUCUUUUUUCAACAUCUUGCUGGACCUCAUUAAGGAUUUUCCUGUAACAAUUCAAAAAUAUAUGCAAAUGGUUUUUUUUUUUUUUAAGGUUAGAUGAUAUGCAUGCAUCCUUACCUGAUUUGAAAUAUAGGUCCCCCCCUCUUUGAUGCUCCAUCGUCAUAGGGUGCCCUUGUUUGUAUCCCAAAACUUUCUUUGUUCUUCCGAUACAUUGGCUCAUUCAUGUGCUAGCCAUCCACUCAGCUGUAAAUGCAGUGCCCAUCCCGAGCUGUUUUUGACAAUUACUGCUUGCAUCGUUCAUCAAGCUUGACCCUUCCCCCAAGUGUGGUACUGCUUGAUUCAUCAUGAAGGAUUUUCUCUCCUGGCUUCUUCUAAGAAUUAUCCUCUGAUUGAUUGUGUGCAUCAUGCCAAUACCCAUCAAGAUUGUUAAUCAGUCAUGAACUUGCCUCUAGUUGAAACAAUACUGUUCAAGUACAUGUUAUCAUUAGCCUUCUUGGAACUCAUUCAGUCAUCCAGUCAUGCAUCUCAUAGCUUGCACUACAAAGGCUCAUGGUUGUAUGCUCAGUGUUCUUCUUAAUAGAUUCCCUUCAACUCAGCCUCAUCAAUGAUGCUGCUUUUAUCACUCAUACUCAUGCAGUGAAGCACUCAUCUGGCUUCAAAACAAGUUAUCCCACAGUCAGUCUUCGAGGUGGGUGCCUUUCUGACAUUCAUUCAAUGCAGUUGUGUGAUAACAUCUUCCGAUAAACAUGUUUCAAAGGAUGACAAUAUGACAUUGUCCUUUAAGUGAAGCAUUGUUCCACAGUCAGUCUUGGUGGUAUGCAUCUUUUCUCCAUUCAAUUACAUUCAUCUGUGUAUCUUCAUCGAUCGCUAGCCAUGUUUCAAAAAUGAUGAUAUGAAAGUGUCCUUCAAGUACAUCUUGUUUCUCCAUUGCCGACAGGGUUCACUAAGCAUGGGCCAUUUUGGAAUGACAUUGCCCCCAGUAUGAUCUGAAUGUGCUCGUUCAUUGAUUAUCUGUCUUUGAACAUCAUUGUCUUCAGUUCACUGAUUCAUCAUUUAAUCAUUGCCUCAUAGCUGAUCUGAGCACUGCUUGUUUUUCCUUUUCAAGGUCUACUGUAUUGCCCCCAGCUGCUCAACUUUUCAAGGAGUGUCGAGGACUUCAAUGUCAUUUCUAUCAACGAUUUUGCAUACUCAAUCAAUGUUCUUCUGUGUUUGAUAAUCUUCCUUGUUCUGGAAUCAACUCUCAUAUUUCAAAGAUCAUGUCUAUUCAAAGUCUAGUUUGUUGAAAUGAAAUCAGAGAUGUCCUUUUUGAAAAUCUUUUGAAAAUCAAGCUUUUUGAUCAAAGACCCAACACACGUUAUUCGAAAUACACAGUCCUUUGAUUGUCAUGCAUUUUAAAAACAUAAAUUGACCCAAUGUAGGAUUAAAAAUGGUUUUUUCCAUGGUUCUUUGUAUCAAUUUGAAUCCUUGAUAUUGGGUAUAUCAUUUGAUAGUCUAUGAUGAGGUGACCUUUUCGUGAAUUUCAAAAGCAAGGCACUCAAGUCAACACUUAGGCUUUAUCAAGAAAGGUUGUUUCUCUUCUUAUAACUUGUUUUAUCAGCAUGCAUAAUAACCAAUAGCUUAAUUCAUGAAGUCACGACCCUUAUGGAAAAGCUCUUCAAGUUUUGAGAGCGCCAUUUAUCGGUUCAAAUUGCUUGCUUGAUUAAAAAGGGCUUUUAAAAGCAUGUAAUGCAGGCUAUGGUUCAUGGCUAUGAAAGAAAAGGAAUCUCAAAGGCUCAAAAGGUGUUUGAGGGUUUCAAAGACCUAGGAUCAACAUCAAUUAUUCAUCAACUCUUUUUUAUUGUUGUCUUUAUAGAGGAAACGACAUAUAACCUUGUUAACCUCAAAGAUCAGACUUCACUUAACAUAAGUCAUAAUGCAAAUCCACCUUUCCUUGAUGAAUAACCAACCUUAAUCAUCUGAUAACAUCAGAGGCUUUAUAAUGGACACCAAAAGUCACGUUUAUAACUUAGUCUUUUUUCUGGUAUUGAGUUUUGUUGUGCCUUUCCUUGAUUGAAAUUUCUUUUGCUCUUCAUAGACUUGAUAGGCGUUCUCCUUCCUUUAUCUUUGACUUGUAUUUAAGUGAGGGCAAAUUUCAACUUCCUUUUUUUUCAUUCUCUUUUUUUUCAUAGCCUUCCUCAAAAUUUUCUUAUAUGCCCCCAGUCUAUGUGUUUUCUUUUAUUUCUCUCUCAAUCAUUGGACCUUUGUUCUAAACCUUCCCCUUUAUCCAUUAAUUAUAUCAAUGUCUCCAACAAAUCUCUCAUCUGCCCCCAGUGUGGGGUGUGAUCCUAGUCAUGGUUUUUUUUUAAAGAAAAUACUUUACCAGGCUCAAAAUGGGACUACAAGGGAUAUAAUCUUUAGAAAGUGAAGGGAUAUCAAAGAUGGCCUUUUCUCAUUUCAAGCAAGGUCGGUUAGAACCGAUAAAUUUUGACCCAUCCAGUGUAAUGAUUGGGACUUGUAAGAAUCAUGAUUCACGAGUCCAUAACUACCGAAUCCACUACAUGUCAUUAUGCAUACUGUUAAAACUUAGCUAUAUGAUGUGUGGUUCAGUUUCAGGAGGUAUGAGUUCAAAAUUGUUUAGUCACCUCAUGUCAUUUUCAAGCAUCGAGUCAUUUCUGUAAUCAAAACACUUUUAAUCUUCAGGAUUGAUUAACCUUUAUCGCAUGUUGGAGUUUGAUCAAAAUAUUUUGUCAGAAUAAAAUGCUAAACAUCUGUUGAUUUCAAAACAACAAAGAGACAAAAGCAAGGCAUGUUUCGUUGAAGGAUGAGAUGUGAUCCCAAAACAAAAUGCAGAAUUCCAUAACAAUAUGAUUGAUUGUUCAUCACCAUUCUUGAAUCAGCUUUUCUGGCAAUAUCUGUGUUUUGCCAAGCACUUUCGAUCACAUGUCAUUUUGAAGAUGUUCGGGGGACAAUAUAGCCAAUGACACCCUCCUUCACCGACUCCACUUGUCUCUUGCUCACCAACUUUCGGACUCAAUUCUUGCAAUUCUUGCAAUUGUUCACUUGAAAUGGUUGAGGACCCCACCAUGACAUCAUAUCUCUUGUCUGGAUUAUACCACCUAGAAAACGGUGGUUGCAUGGGAUUUGUCGGAGUCUAGCAAGUCUAGAAUCUGGCAGAUGCUGGCAAAUAAACUCAUAUGACAACUAUUCAAUUGAAAUUCUUGCAACUAUUCCAUUGAAAUGGCCGAGGACCCAACCAUGACAUCACAUCUCUUGUCUUGAUUAUACCACCUAGAAAAUGGUAGUUGCAUGGGAUUUGUCAGAGUCUAGCAAAAGUCUAGAAUCUGGCAGAUUCUGGUAAAUAAACCCACAUAGCAAAGAAUGUCUAUCUUUGGCAAAGACAUUGGAGUAGUCGAUGAUACAACAAGACUUGGUUGGACCAACAUAAUUAAGGUUUUCCAUCGUCAGAUUCUUCUUUUGAUUCAUCUCUCAUCGUUUCUCUAGAAUCCUUGGCAGAACCUUCAAUCUUUCCCAUCUUGAUAGCUUGUUCAAUUUUUGGCAAUCCACACAACUUCAUGUCAAUCUUCCAAUGUUGUUGUUGUUGUUUUAGGAUUGUUGGAAACCCGUCAAUAUCUAGGUAAUCCUGGCAGUGCGCAAAAACAAAAAUGUAUGGAAUCAUAUAUUGUCAAAAUUGGAAGAGAAACUGAUGAAUCCACAACUCCUCUAUUUCCUCUUUGAUUCCUCACUGACGGUGCAACAAACAUCCACUUUUGUGUUUUAAUGCCAAUACUAGUAGGAGAAAAUUGUGGACAAUCUGAAAACCACUGCAUCCCUUCUUGGAUUUCCCAUUUACAGAUCCAUAAAUAGAUUCCUGCCGAGAGAUCUCUGCAACGGUGAAGUUUGAUGUCUGCUCCAUGUUUUUCAAACCAAAUCUGGCUCUUCAACAUGCUACAGUUUCUUCAUGCUGAAACUAAUGAGAGAAAUAUUUGUAGCAUAUGCAAUUAGUAAAUCCUCUCUUGCACUCUCAACUUGCAACAUCAUAAACAGAUUUCUGUAGAGAAAGCUCUGCCACGUUGAAGUUCGACGACUACUCAUAUUUUCAGACCAAGCCUGACUCCUCUGCCUAGUACGAUGUUUUGCUCGUGCCACUGGUGGGAAAAAAGUUUCAAAGCAUAUGAAAUUAAUACAUCCUCUUUUGUAUUUCCCAUUGGCAGAUCCAUAAAUAAAUCUCUACAAAGAGAGCUCUACCACGUAGAAGUUCAGUGUAUGAUCAUGGUUUUCGGACCAACAUCUUGUGCUGCUGACUGAAAUUGAGCUCAUAAUUAGGGUAACUUCAAAGCAGACUAAUGCACCAUGUACAGGAGGCUAGUAGUUGUUUGGUUCCAUUAGAUGAUGUGGAGGCGAUGAACACUUAACAGUGCAACUAGACAAGAACUAGAGUUGUCAUUAGUUGAUGACUGAAGGCAUUGUUGCUGUUGUUCAUGACUGAAAAGGAGAGGCAACUUCAAUUGAACGUGGACAAGCAGUGUUCCCACAGAAGACUGUGUAGACAUUCUCUUUCCAUUUGAUGCUCGACACUUGUUCGAGCAGAUCUGAGUCUAGCUACUUCACCUUUGAUGCUCUCAACCUCAAUCUGAUAAUGAGCCUCUAUCUAACACUUUUCUUCACCUCUAUCAUUUUUCUUCAAUCACGUGCAGCACAGCUUGUGCGGGGGACCUACCUUUCAACCUGGUACAUGCAUGAUAAAUGUAUGAAUAUGUAAUCUAUAUGACAAACUCGCCCUUCGAGGGGUGACAUAUGGUCGCAACUCUUGUAUGAUGAAACAAGAAUCUUGAUUCUUGCACAAACUCUACAAUGAAAAUGUUCUGAGCGACGGUCAUUGUGUCACCCAUAAGUCUGGAGUUCAAGAUGCUUCAAAAAGGGCUUGCUCGGAUGCAAAACAAUGUAUACGGAGCAUACAUCCUAAAGGUAGAUUCUAAUCUUUUUAAGUGAGACAAAAGGUAGGAUAUCAUCUUCUUCAUCGACAUUUGCUUGUCCGCUAGAGCUCAAAACAACGUUCAACUCCUCUACGUCAACAUCAACAAGACUAUCAUCGAAAACACGAAAAUUUGAAUUUUCUUCCAAUUCAAUCGAAGGAGCAACUCGAUAUGGUUCAACCAACUCACUAACUUGAAAGACUUCAUCCCACACACUUGUGUCUUCGUUCUCAUCCUAAACAACCUCGACACGACCCCGUGGUUUUGUUUUUAAAACGAACAACCAAUCAACUCUUGAUCGAUCCUUUCUAAAUGAAGGGGUGUAUGUGUAAUAAACUUGUUGACAUUACUUUGCGAAAACAAAGACAUCGUUUAUGUUGCAGAGUCUAGCUUUUGAGUUGAUUUCGACUAGACCAUGGUGUGUAUCAACUCUGAUUCCUCUGUCCGUCGUGUCAUACCAAUAGCGUUUGAAUAAAAACACUGUAUUCUGCUCGCUAUGAUAUUGUAGUUCGACGACCUCUUCUAAUCUUCCAUAGUAGUCAACUUUUAACUCACUACUUGUGGAUCCUUUAACACAAACACCACAGUUGUAUGUCUUUCUUCAUUGCCCGUAUUCUUCAGUAUGGAAAACAUAUCCAUUGACAAAAUACUUGUUAUAGCACUUAACUUUUCUUUCAGGCCCGAGGCUUAGUGAAGGCAAUGACUUAGACGCACUUCUUCCCAUUUGAUAAACCUUGUAUACAUGUAAUGUACAUCAAUAAACGGUAAAUGAACGAGAAUCUUGUAAUGACAUGCAUACGUACAGUAAUUUUGCAAGUUAGAAUGAGUUUGUGAUAGUGCUUACAUGUGUUCUAAACCAUGUGGCAAAUUGUUCAUCUUGUAAUUGAAAGAUCUGGGAGUCGGUCAGCUGCGAGUUAUUGGAGAGCAAAUAUUGUCGAUGUUGCCUGCAAGUGAUAAUGAGUGUAUGAUUUCACAAUAUAUAAUUAGCAGUAUAUUACUGACAAAGUUUAAAUAGUAUUACACAUAUAUAAACUUACUGAAUAAAUGGUCUUAACUCUUCACAGUUAAAUAGAACAUAGUUGUGUGCUUGUUUGAAUUCUAUUUCCGACAAAUAUCUUCCUCUUGUCGCACGUCAAAAACAAAUCCGUGCGCGGCAUCGACUGGCGAUUAUUCGUUCUGUUUUGCUGAUUUGGUUCUUUAGAGUCGCCACCUAGUAAUUCAUUGAGGGCUACUAGGAAACCUGAUGUACUGGACUUGUCAGAGAUCGCGGGUAAGGGACUGGUUGUGGUUAGGGAAGGUAUUAGCACCCCUAACGCACCCUACCUGAGGUAAGCUGCUUUGUGGACUUGAUGUGUUAAAGAAGUUUUAAAAAUUAUGUUCUUUCAUCGAAUUUUAGAAAAUACAACUUACAUGUAAGUUCAUAAUUCUUUAUCCGUGAUCAAAUCAGAAUAUUAAAUUCUUCUUUAUUCUUGCAAUUUUAUCAUAAUAAAAAAAACAUUCAUAAACAAAAAUACACACCACAUUCACUUUCAAGCUUUGUGGACUUGAUGUGAUAUUAAAAAUAAAAUUUUAGCCCAAUUAUAAGGCUUUGAUAAAUCAGUUAUUACUUUUCCAGACUAUUAUGUAGAUACAUGUUCUACAUUUCCAUGGAAAAUUCAACAUGAUUUUUAUCUGUCCUUUAGAUAUUUGUGCAUAUAAAAUAAAUUCCUUUUUUUUUAUUCAAUAACAUUCAAAAAAAAAAAUACAAGCACACAAACAUUUUUUUUAUUAUUAUUAUCACUUUCUCUGUCUUUUCUUUUCUUUUCUUUUACAUCCUUUUUUUUGUUCUUUUUAUACAUUACCUUACAAAUUAUAAAAACAAAUCAAACUAAAUAAAAAUGACAUUACAUAAUUUACAAUUUACAAAAACAGUCCCUAAACUCAAGAAAUUGCAUUGAAGGACACUGCCGGAACUGCCCUGAACUUGUGGCGGCGCGUCUUCCCACGUGCCACCGUCACUGGCGGCGCGUGAAUCUAGAAACAGCGGGAUCUGGUUCGGCUUCUCUCCUUCUUCCUUUCCUCGCCAGCGGUGAGCAACGCCGUCACCUGUAGAACACAAAAACGCAAGCAACAGUCUGUUUUAGUUAAUUUUUAGAUCUGUUUUCCAUCAUUAUCUGCUUCCCUUUCUUCUUUCUCCGGUCUAUUCUUGGGGAUUCACCAUCUUCUUCUCUGCUCAGGUAGUCGGGCGGCGGCUGGUUGAUGGUGGAUCUAUGGCCGGAUGUGGACGGCGCUGCUGGAGGAAGGCGUUGCUGCCUGAUUGUCGGUUGCGGUUGGUGCUGGACCUGUGGGGGCUGCCGUUGAAGGGGCUGGAAGUCAGAUCGUCUGAGAGAGAGGAGUGGUGGUUGAUUCUCCGUACCUGGCGAGAAGAAAAGGAAGUCUGAUCUGGGAGGAUCGGCCGGGGAAGCGGCUGAAGGAAGAAGAAAAACCGAAUCUAGAGGGGGGGAAACGGCGACCAGUUUUGAAAGGAAGCAGGUUCGGUUUUGGCCAGCGUUAUGAUCACGAUCGGUGAUGGGGUUCGGUGAGGAGGGGAAGAUCGGCUGUGGAGUGUGGUGGUGAGCGGCUGAAAAAAUCAAAGAAAAGGGGGCUCUGGUGAGGCCAAGAAGGAAAAAUUGAUUCGCCGGCUGUAAAAGGGAGAACCGGUUUUGGUUUGGGUGUGUCUGUGUUUGGUGCCAUGUCAUGUGCUCAGUAGUCCUUCGUGACAUGAAUAACCUCUGCAGUCUAGGUGUGAUCGGGAAAUAUCUAAGUUUUUCCCCUGCCAGUUCUGGGUUUGUAACGGGAAUACCCGCAUGUCAUGCACUCGGUCAUCUCAGCAUUUUCAAGGUAGUAUAACAUGUAGAAGUUAGGGCACAUGUCAAUUUUAUGGUAUCCUAAACCAAGGGGUUUCAUCAUGGACUUCGCAACAUAGAAGUUCUCUUUCAGCCUGUUCACUUCAGGUAAAAUGCUUCUUGCCCAAUCAAUAAUUUUUUCAUACCCGGCCUCACUCAGCCCGUGAUCUGACUUGAUGGUGAACACCUGUGCCACGGGCGACAAUUUACUGUGGUUUGUGCAGCCAUCCCAUAAUGGUUCGUCAGAAUCUUUCAACAAAUCAAAAAACCUAGCUGCCUCUGCAUUAGGUUCUUUUUCUACGAUUGGACAUUGAUUGACAUUACCUUGAUUCAUUCUCAUUGCAUCCAUAACCACAUUUCUGUAAGGAUUAGUGUUGUCAUUUCGCUUCAUGCACGUUGCUAGCACUAGAAGUUGACCCAACCACCGUUUCUCUCAUUCUCCUAUUACUAACAAAUACCUCUCCAUGUGCAUACCAACACUGGUAAUCCUCAAACCCUUUGUGUAGAAGAUGCAUCAUUACAACAUCUGGAUGCAGAUACUUUUUAUUUUGACACUUCCUGCAUGGACACCUAAUACCGCCUCCAGUAAAAUUUCUGGGAAUAGAUGUUGCGAAAUUAAUAAAACCCUGAACCCCGUUACAAUAAUCCAUCCUCCGCAAUCCUUGGGUGAAUCUAGAUACAUCCAUGAACGAUCAUCCAUGACUUCUAUCGAACCUCUAUAAAAUUAUGAUGACAUCAUGUAUUAAUUAACUAAGUUAGGUAAAUAAACUUGCAAAAAUAUUACUUUACCUCGAGAUUAUCCAACAAACCAAUCACAACUUCUCAUAAAUAUUAAAUAUUCAUUAUCAUUUAUCAACGUCCAUACAAAUUAAUAUAUAUAAAUUAACAGAAAUUACCACUCUGCAAUACCAUCGAUAAAACUUAAAAAGGACCCAUUAAGCAAGCUAUUAAUUAUUUCAAAACAGAACAUGUAAUUCGGUAAUUCCACAAAGUUUUAACAAUUUACAAACAAAUACAAUCUUACAAAAUCUAAAACAAACCAUAACAGGUAUAAAAUUAUACAUUCAUAUACUACAAGUUUGUUUGAGAAAUAACAAUAAAACAUGUACAUCUACUAACAAAAAUACAUAUACUAAAAAACAAUAAAAUUGACAUUUAAAUGUUAAAAUUUAAAUAGAUAGAAUUACUUACAAAAAUUGAUAAAAUCCGUCGGUAAAUCAGAACACGGAUGUUGUGACCACAAAAUUUCAAGAAAUACAACUUGUUGUGUUGAGAUGAGCAAGAUUUUUAUUUGGGGGCAAGGGGGGGCUGAUUAUUUGCAGAUGGGGAGAGUUAGGAUUAGGAAGAAAAAGGAGAUAUGGGGAAGGAGAGUGUCGACAGAGUGGCCAUAUAUUUACUUUUUCCGACGGCCUCAUCGACGGAAUAACACCGUCGGUGACUCCGUAGGUCAUUCCGACGGGAAAUCGACACGUCACCGCACGAACCUGCUUUUCAAAUCCCUCGGUGAUUCCGUCGGUAUUUUUUAUGGUGCAACGGUCGCGUCACCCAUACGGAUCUGCCGUUUCAAUUCUGUCGGUGAUUCCGUUGGUAUUUUGAAGUCCCAUGACACGUACUUGUCAACCAUUUUGAAUCCGUCGGUGAUUCUGUCGGAAAAAUCACCCGCCAAACCUCCACGUCAGCUACCCGCCCUUUUUUCAUUAAUUUUGAUUAUUCUGUCCGUAAUUCGGUCGGUAAUUACCAACCAAAUGACGGACAGAAUAAUUCCAUCGGUAAUUUCGACCGAAAAAUACCGACAAAAAUAUUCCUCGGGGAUUCCGUUGAUAUUAAGCGAAUUUCUGGUAGUGAUUUGAGCAACUCUGAAACAUGAAGCUAGUCAAUAGGCGUCUAUAAGUUGUACAGAGAUUUUACAAUAGAAACUAUUCAAGUAAGAUUUUGGUGCAAUCAGUAUUCUAUAUGCACGAACAAAUUUGGGGCUUCACUGUACUACCUCAGAUACUCUCAAAAAAUGCUUCUUGGAAUUCGGAAGUUUAGACGAUCAUCGGUUAACAUGUCUGGUGUUGGUGCUUCAUGAAAUGAUGUUACCGUUUCUCUUUCUGAACGUUAUUCCAGGUUGGAAAUUCAAGUAAUUAGUUCAAAUCCUAGAAGAUGAGUGGUGGCUUAGAAUGCUGUGAAAAAAUCGUUCCCCUGUUCAUUUUUCAAAUUAGAAAAGACAUAACUUUUUGCUUGAACUUCUAGAAUAUAAAAAAAUCUUACUUUUAUAUCUAGACACUUUCCAUCUAUGAUCUUUAAAUCUGAAGACAUAUCAUCUGGUUUUAAGAAAGUGCUAUUAACAUACCAAACUUUAUUAGAUUGUUGUUGUGCACUUAGGAAGAAAUAAAAUACUUGUCCUCUAUUGUUUUCAAUAGCAUGAUCAGCUUCAUAGUUUUCUACGUUGUCUUUUUACUAGAAGUACCUUCGUGAAUGUUGGGAAUUUCUGUCUUUUGCAUCUAUACCAGCACUCUUUUACUUAGUGUCCACCUCAUUUUCAAGUUCAUGUCGCUGGAUCCAGCGGUCAAGAGAAAAUCAUGUCAUUGACACUAAUUUAGACCAUCAAAAUGAUUGAUAUUUGUGUUAAAUGGUUCCUUUUAACUGAGAGAAUUCAUAUUAGGUGUUUUUCUUACCUUUAAAGUUUGUGAAAAAACAAAUAUUAUCUCAAGCUGAUUUUUGGUUUCAUGUUCAUUUCUAUUUUUUAGAGGGUUUGUUGGUUUUUUAGGCUAAAAAUAUGUUUAUCAUGGUUCUUAAGGUUUUUUAUAGGUGUUUUGGGUCAAAAUGAGUUUUGAGUAAAAAAACUUAAGCCUUGAUUUUUCAACCACUACAGUGGUUGGAAUCCGGAUAAGAUCAGACGACGCGUUGUCUGUCUCAAUAGGCAACGCAUCAUCUGAUUGUUUUAAAAAAAUAGAGGUGGACGACAUGUCAUCUGCUCUAAGUGCAGCGAAAAAAAUGGGUCCAGUUAGGUGAGCCCUAAUGAAAUGGGCCAGGCCAGGCAACACUUGACCGUUUUUUCCCUUAUUUUUUUCAAUUCAUCCUUAUUUUUAUAUGUUUUUUUGUAAAAUAAAAAAAUAUUUAUAUUUAGAUUAAUACCUCUUUUCUUUUUGUAUUUUGUUCAGAAAGUCUUUUAAAUGAUGAUUAUUUUUUUGUUAUGUUUUUAAUUUUUGAAGAGGUCUUUCUGAUUCAUUUAUAUUUUUUUUAUCGUUUAUGUAGAAGAAUUAUAUUUUUGAAAAUAAAAAAUAUUUAUUUUCAAAUAAUAUUUCUACAGAGAGGUCGCUGGAUCCAGCGAUAAAAAAGAAAAUCAUGUCGUUGACACUAAUUUAGGCCACCAAAAUGAUUGAUAUUUGUGUUAAAUGGUUCCUUUUAACUGAGAGAGUUCAUAUUAGGUGUUUUUCUUACCUUUAAAGUUUGUGAAAAAACAAAUAUUAUCUCAAGCUGAUUUUUGGUUUCAUGUUCAUUUCUAUUUUUUAGAGGGUUUGUUGGUUUUUUAGGCUAUAAAUAAGUUUAUCAUGGUUCUUAAGGUUUUUUAUAGGUGUUUUGGGUCAAAAUGAGUUUUGAGUAAAAAAACUUAAGCCUUGAUUUUUCGACCACUACAGUGGUUGGAAUCCGGAUAAGAUCAGACGACGUGUUGUCUGUCUCAAUAGGCGACGCAUCAUCUGAUUUUUUUUUUAAAAUAGGGGUGGAUGACAUGUCAUCCGCUCUAAGUGCAGCGAAAAAAAUGGGUCUAGUUAGGCGAGCCCUAAUGAAAUGGGCCAGGCCAAGCAACACUUGACCGUUUUUUUCCUUAUUUUUUUCAAUUGAUCCUUAUUUUUAUAUGUUUUUGGUAAAAUAAAAAAAUAUUUAUAUUUAGAUUAAUACCUCUAUUCUUUUUUAUUUUGUUCAGAAAGUCUUUUAAAUGAUGAUUAUUUUUUUGUUAUGUUUUUAAUUUUUGAAAAGGUCUUUCUGAUUCAUUUAUAUUUUUUUUAUCGUUUAUGUAGAAGAAUUAUAUUUUUGAAAAUAAAAAAUAUUUAUUUUCAAAUAAUAUUUCUAAUACGUGUAGCCUUGCAUAAUGUUUUUUUUUUCUUUUUAUUUUAUUCAAUCAAUCUAAUGUGUUUGUCCAUUUCUUUUAUCAAUUGAUUGAAUAAAAAUACAUUAUAAUAAUCGUGUAAAUAUCCAGUCUUGCGAUAUUAAAUAUCUUGAUCCACACAUGUAUCUUGAUUUUUCAAGUUUUAUUUUUAAGUAUUGUUAAUGACUUAUUAUUAAUUUAUUAGCACACAUAGUUCUCGGUUUACUUGAUUACAUGUAUUUUUGAUCUACACUUCAAUUUUUUGAAUUAUAGAAAUGCAUUGAAAAAACUUAUUUAUAUAAUGUUUUUAUAGAAAAUAAAAAUAUCUGAUCCGUAACGGAGCGCGGUUCAUAUAACUAGUAAAUACUAAAUUGAAGUGAUAAAAAAUAACAUAAAGCACAAGUAAAUUACAUAUACAAGUGAUCAAUGAUAGAGGCUCCUCUAUGUAUAGAUAAUGGAGCAUUGAUUCUUAAGUUUAGGGAGACACAUGGUGCCCGUGUCAGUUUAUAUUGGAUCCUGUGCUUGUAAGUAAUGAUGGAUUCUCAUGAGUCCUACUAUUUAACAUGCUUAAGAAUAAAGUUGACAUGUUGGAUAAUUGAUUGAUCUCUUAGUUCAAGUAAUCUGAUUCAUUCUUCAUAGUUAAUGUAUCUAGUGACUUGAUAUAAAAAGCCUAGUGGGUUGGUAACUGGUAGCAUGUGAUGUCUAGUAAGCUAGGUGACAGGUAACUAGUACCUAUAAAAAGUCCCAUUUGAUGGACGUGGGGAUUCUCAGAUGGUAAAGUCGAUAACUUUAUGGAAAGAGAAAGUGCAAUAAUAUUUUAAAGAGAUAUACUCUGAAAAUAUAUACAGUUAUACACAAUAGAAAAUGAAGAGAUUGUGAACCUUUAACUUGAUGGAUUCAUGGUGUAUUUAUAGCUUAUAAAUUUUAUCCUUUUAUGGAGAGGAGGGGCUGAAGUGUAAUUUCAAUAUUGUGAUAUUUUGAGUUGUAUUCCACUCAAAAUAAUAUGUAUUUGAUCAAUAUAAAAUAUCAAAAGAUGUAAGUUGGAUUUUGAAAAAUUCUCUAGUGAGUAUUGGGCUCGGAUAAGGUGCCCGAGCCCAUUGGAGGUGAAAGCAGGUUCGGGAGUACUACCUGGACUCAAACACACUAAGCUCAGGCGUGAAAACCUGUUCCCAUGAUGGCUAUAGGGUGCAUGCCCAACACCAUUUGGGCGUACACCCUACAUAGGUACACAUACAUUGGGGUGUAUUGAGCGUACAUACACUGGGCAAAUGCCCAAUGCACUGCAUAAUGCCCAUGCAUUAGACGUUCAUACGCCCAUUAAGGAGCAUGGGCUUGGGCUCCUUGCCCGAGCCCAUGUUCUUGGUGCGUGGAUAGCCCGAGCUCAUGUUCCUUGGGUGGUUUUUGAGUUUUUUUUUUCUCUUUUAGAGGAUUUCUUUGGGUCUAUUUUGAGGGAUUUUUUUGGUCAAUUUUAUUUGUAUCCAUCAGAUUCUAUUAUCAAUUUAAAAAGUCUGAAGUGAUAGAUUAAAAAUAUAUUUUGUAUAUAAGUUCCUCAUUUUCCAUUCGUAACCCAACAACACAUCUUGAAACAUUAAACUGACUUAAACCUUCAAAUAGAGAAUUGAAUUUUAAUGAAAUUUAACCUUUUUUUACAAUAUCUGACACUAAGCAACGAAUAGCUUCUAUAAAGAGGAUUUUUUAGGGAUUUUUUUUUAAUUCUUUUCUAUUUAGUGUAAGAAGUUAAAUUUUAUGUUUAAUAUUUUUAUUUUUCAUAGUUUAUUUAGAAUUUUUAUUAAUUUUUUUAUUUUUAGGUUUCUAGUUUGUUUAGGUUAGUUUUUUAAGUUUAUUUAAGGAGUUGUAAACCUCUUAGUAAGGAAAACUACAUGAACAUAAAAUAUUCAGUAAUAAAAUUAUAAUUUAGGGUUUUGUGUGACAAUUUUAUUUAACUUCAAUGAUACUAGUGGUUAUGUCUUUAUAGCUUAUUGUUUUUAUGUUUGUGUUUCCGUUUAUGUUAGUUGGUAUUAAAGUUCAAUGAUACUAGUGGUUAUUCGCUUGCUAUGUGCUAGAAUAACAAUGAUUAGAAAAUGCUAUGUGCUAAAAUAACAACUCUAAAAUAAAGAAAAUGUAAUAAAAUUUCUAAAAAAACUAAGAGAAAUAAAAUUACUUCUUUCAUGAAUUCAAUCUUGAUUUAUAAUAGAACUCAUGUUUGGAGGCACUUAGGCCUUUUCAACACAGUUAUUUUAUAAUUAUCUAUUUAGAUGGAAGGCAAUUAAGUCUUUCACCAUAUAUAAAAUUAAUUUUAAAAAAAGAUGGUUGGUAAAUGCCACUCACAUGCCAGUAAGUAGGAGGUAUUCAUGUUUUUUAGGCGAUACAUAUGGCACCUUACAAUGGUCAAAUGUCGUUGUUCGCUACAGUGUGUAAAGUAGAGCAUCAUCAUUUUCAAAGUGAUAGGGCACAUAUUCACAAUGGAGGUGAGGUUAAGCUCUGAUGAAUCUUUUUUUUCUUCUUUUUCUUUUCUCUCUCCUAGCCUCAAAAUUUUCACUAGCCCUUUAAAAAAUUAAUUGUGUCAUCCAGUUUGGUCUUUAUUCUUUUGAUUGCUAUUUGUUUUUUCAAUUUUAUUCCUCAUCAUUUUAUCUUGUUUAAUUUUUGUGUCCAAUUUUGGUCCUCAUGCUUUGAUUGCUAUUUUUUUAAUCAUUUUCUUAAUUUAUUUUAAAUUUUAAUUUAGUCCCUCAUUGUUUUAUUUCAUUUAAUUUUUAUGCCAAAUUUAAUCUUUAUGUUUUUUAUUGCUAUUUGUUUUGUUUAUCUAAUUUUGGAUGAUUAGGGAUUUUUCUUGGUAUUUUUUAGAGUUUGCCUUAAAUGGUUUAAUCUUGAUCUCAUAACUCAAGUCACUAGUUUUGAGAAUUAGCCCGAUUUAACUUCAAUAUUUUUUAUGCCGUUUUCUUAAAAUUGAUUAUUUUUUAAUUUUAUCAUUUCAUUUUAGGUUAUUGGAUCUUGAGUUUCAUGGUUUUUUCCACUUUUCUUUUUCUAUUUUAUCCUAGGUCAUGGGUUUGUUGGGUGAACCCAGAUUCAUUCAAGUUUUAAUUUUUAUUCAGUCUUGAGUUUCAUGGUUUUUAUUUAAUUUUUUUAUUUCAUCAUUCGACAUUGAGUUAUUGGGUCAUUUGAAAUUCAUUAUUAUGCCUUAAGCUUUGUGAUUUUAUUUUUUUUUCAUUUUUCUUUUUGUGGGGUUAACCUAGGUUGACUUCGGAUUUUUUUGGUAUUUCUUUUAUUUUUCUUUGAUCUUUUUUUCUAGGUCAUUUUUAUUUUGAAUAAUUUUUUAUCCCGAUCACAUUAUGUGGAUUGCGAGUUAGUUGAGUGAAUCUUAGCUAUCUCAAUUUGUUUUACGUUGCUUUUUUUUAAUGAUUUUUUUAUUUCAAUUUAAUUCUUUGACAUUAGAUUGUUGGGUCAUGAUCUUAGUGAUUUUUUCCACUUUCCUUUAUAUGAAGUUGGCCCAAGUUACAAGUUAAUCAAAUUAACCCGGUUUAUAUGAGUGGGGCACAAGUUACAAGUUAAUCAAAUUAACUCGGGUGGACUCAAUUGUUUUCUUGACAUUGACUUCGAUCUUUUUAUUUAAGUUUAUUUUUUAAUUUAUUUUUUUUAUUUUGAUCUCAUAUUGAGGGUAGUGGGUAGUUAGGUGAGCCCAGGUUGACUCGUGUUGAUGUGAAUCUCGUGAUCACGUAGUCACGCAACCCACAAUCAAAAUUAAGAUCUAAUCCCGGAAAGCCGAAAUAGAUCUGAUAGGAGUCUGACACAAUGGAAACUUGCCCCAAGGCACCAACACUAUUGGAAUGAGUAGAAUGACGCCACGAAGCCAAUUAAUCUUCGAUAAAUCAGAUUCAAUUCGUUCAAGAACUAAAGAAUGCAAGAAUCACUCUCACACAUUAAAACUGAAAAAUUCAGAAGUAAUAAUCAUCAAAGCUCCCAAAAUUUUGGCUUGCAUGAGUUUAAAUAGUUCUUGAAAAAUUAACCCUAAUGGACCCCUUAUAUGGACUUAUAUGAGGUCCACUCAAAACUGAUGCAAAAUCCUAAACUGAAAAGCCCAUAACUUAAUCCAAACAAGCCUUGGAUCCUAGCUGAAAACAAAGUAUUAAUUAAGCUCAAACAUAAAAGAAAAUAAUAAAAAUAACUAACUUGUCAUUAAAUACCACCAGCCCUUCUUUCUUUGUGUAGUUAGGAUGAAUAAGGGAAUCCUUAUAAGAAAAUUAUUCUAAAACAUUAAUGAAUCAUUGCCACACUUGGAGAAUAUUAUAUUGCAGCUCAUUAAAGAUCCUUAAGGAACUAGGAAAUUCCCAAAACAAGCUCCCACAUCCUUGUAGGAAAAUGAUCCUUGCUGAACAGGAAGUCCACAAGUUAAAAGGAAGUAAAUAAUAGAAUUCGCAUAACCUGUUCGGACCUAUAUUGCAAGUCUUUUCCGAACAUGGAUUCUUCUAAAAAUGUACCCCAACAUAGAAAAACAUUUUUGAAAUCUUCUAGUAAAGUUUCAGCUCGAUCCAACGGUUGGAUUUGAAGUUAUGCUCAAUAAUGUAAAACUGAACGGUAGAAACUUUUACGCCAAAAUCCAAAUCUGACAUUGCUUGGUUCGUAUCACAAGGCUGAACUGUAUCACGUGUUUUUUCUUCGAUGUUUUUAUUUUUAAAUUUUAUUUUUCAAGUUUUAUCUUUUGAUAUUAGGUUAUUGGGUUUUACUUAAAGGAUAAAGGGGGGGUUCAUUGGAAUCUAAAAGUAAGUUUGACAUAUUCAUGAUGAAUAAAAGUACAAAAGUAGAUUAAUUGAAAUAUUAUUAGUUUAAUUAUAUAAAUAUUAUGUAAAGUUCGAUGUCAUUUAUCCACACACAAAAACAAAUUGCAAUAUUAACCCGGAGGUAAGAAGUCUAGGGUAUCUUGAGAAGAGUGAUCAUGGAUCCAAGGUUAAUUUUGAGAAUUUGUUUCAAAGAUGUAAGUAGAGAAAAUAACUUUUUGAUUGGGAUAAAUAUAAUAUUGAAAUUAAAAUUUUGAUAAUUCUAGUUUUUUUGUGAAUCGGAAUCAAAUACCAAAAUUUGAUAAGGAUGAUGAAAAUGAUGGUAAAGAAAAAGAUUUAAAUGCAAAAUUUUUAAUUAGUGAUAUCCACGAGAAGAUAACAAAAAUAGAUGUGGUUACGAUGCAUAGCGUGAAGGAUGUGUGUUUGAGAAAAAAAAUUAGAAUUAAUGAGGUGAAAGCUGAUGCUAUUGCAAUCCAGCUCAUGCAAGACUUCCAAGUCGUUGGCAGUAUCCAAUUCGAAUAUUAUAGACUUCGUCUAAGGUAGUUUACGAAGAAAGUACCCGUAAGACAUGGUUAUAAUAAAAAGUCGUUGGCAGUAUCCAAUCGAAUAUUAUAGACUUCGUCUACGGUAGUUUACAAAGAAAGUACCCAUAAGCAUGAUUACAAUAAAAAGUAUACAUUUCCUGAAAAAAAGAAAUGAAAAACACUACAAAGCUGAGAAAGGCAGACAAUAUCAAUUGUCAAAAUCUAAGGAUACUCAAAUGAGUUUCGGAAGGAAAACCUGAAAAUGUACGAGAGAACACAACCCCAUCAUUGAAGCUGCUAUUUAUAUAUAUAUAUAUAGACAUGAUCUAAUGCUAGCAAGCUGCGAAUCAUAUAUUUUAAGCAGCACACAUUGAGAAAUGAUUUCAGUCUCAUCUUGCCUUUGGGUCAAUUAUUUUAGAAAACACACCCCUUGCUCUUUGAUCUGGAUCACUUUGGGUGACACUUUCACGAGUGCUGAUAAGCCACGAUCUGAAGAAUCUCAAAGUCCACGUCAUUCUAAGAGGAUCCAUAAACCAAAUCCCAAAUAUCUGGGAUGAGCUGAUCGUGAGUUAAUGCAUGCAUAACGGAAGAAGCCAUUAAACAGGGGUCGUGGCUAUCAAGGAGUAAUGGAAGGAGGGGUUACACCCGUUAUAUCACCAUUUAUGGUCAUCAGUUAUAUCUUAAUUAAUUCCAAGUUAUUAGUAGCUUUAUUGUUCCCUUUGUAUUUCAGUUUUAUUUGUAAUUCACUUUGGCUAUUUAAGCAGCUAAAGUUUUAAUAAGAAGAUAUAAUUUCAGUAAAAAAGUGUGGUUUAGUUCUCACCCGAAGAGAACCUUUAUAAUUUGUGCUGGGACCUAACAUUGGUAUCAGAGCACGUUAUGGGAACCAACAAGGAGCGUAUUGAGCACCUGGAAUCUGGACUUGGGAUAGUUCAAGAUGGUCUUCAGAGAAUGGAGUUGGGAGUGAAUGAUAAACUCCAACAUUUGGAAGACACUCUUACUCGACUUGCCAAUAUGUUGAGGCAAAUCAAGAGAAUCCUAACCGCGACAAUUAUCAUAGAGAAGGCAACAAUGGGGGUCGGCAGAUUAUCUCCUCCAAAACAGCAAAACUGGACUUCCACGAUUUUCAGGGGAUGACCCAACCGAAUGGUUCAACCGUGUGGAACAAUUCUUUGAAUACUUGGGCACAGUUGAAAACCAAAAGGUAGCCAUGGCUGCUUACCAUCUUGAAGGGGAGGCCAACCAGUGGUGGCAAUGGCUUCAAAGGACGUUGCAGGGAGAAGGGCAAGUGAUUUCAUGGGCAAAUUUCAAGAAGAGUUAUGGGCUCGUUUCGGACCAUCAGGCUGUGAAGAUUUUGAUGAAGCUCUCUCAAAAAUCAAACAGGAGGGACAUUGAGGGAUUACCAACGGGAGUUCGAGAAGCUUGGAAAUAAGGUACAAGGUUGGACACAGAAAGCAUUAGUGGGAACAUUCAUGGGGGUCUGAAGACAGAAAUUUCUGAAGGGAUUCGGAUGUUUAACCACAAUCCCUCAAGGAGGUCAUUAAUCUAGCAAGAAUGAGAGAUGAGCAACUUACAAGACAGAGGCGGUUCUACGACCAGCACCUCCAAAAAUUCCUCUAGCUCUUCCACCACCCAAUCGGGUAACUCCUGCUAGUCGGUCUACUCCGCUUAGGCGUUUGUCAUGGGAGGAGAUGCAAAGAAGAAGAGUGCAAGGCCUUUGUUUCAAUUGUAAUGAAAGGUUUACAGCCGGGCACAAAUGUCAACAACCUCAGCUACUACUCUUGGAAGGUUACAUAGAUGCUGGUAAUAUGUCCUAUGAAGAUAUUACUUAUCCACAAACCAGGGGGUUUGUACAAGGAGAAGAUACAGUAGAGGCAUGCGAACCAGAAUUGGAACCUGAAAUCACUCUGCAUGCAUUAACAGGGUGGACAGCCCCAAGAACAAUGCGAGUGACAGCGAAGGUGGGCUCUCAUACGGUGAUGGUGUUGAUAGACAGUGGAUCCACACACAACUUCAUCAGUGAUCGCUUAGCAAACACACUACAUCUACCAGUGAAACCAACCAAGUCGUUCACUGUUCGGGUUGCUAAUGGCCAGCGUCUACAUUGCCAAGGACAAUUUGAUAAGGUACCCGUGAAUUUACAAGGCACUGAAUUUUAUCUCACACUCUUCUCUCUGCCAUUAUCAGGGCUUGAUCUAGUGUUGGGCAUCCAAUGGUUAGAAUUGUUGGGAUCAGUGGUUUGUAACUGGAAAGACUUAACUAUGGACUUCAUUUGGAAUAAUCAAGCUCGAAGGUUGCAAGGAGUGGGGAGCAAUCUAUUCAAGAGGCUACUUUAAAACAAGUCUCAAAAGAUUGUCGACAGCAACAGAUGUUAUUUGCAGUAUGUUUCCUUUCAACCACGAGGACAAAAUUCUGAAGGCAGACUAUGGCAAUCAAGACAUACAGCAGUGAUAAAGGAGUAUCAGGAUGUAUUCCAAGAACCCUCAUGCUUACCACCUGUGCGGAGGUGACCAUUGCAUUGCACUUAAGGAGGGCACUGAGCCGGUUAAUGUACGACCCUACGAUAUGCUCACUUUCAGAAAGAAGAAAUUGAAAAGCAAGUGCAGGAGAUGCUGAAAUCAGGACAUAUACGUACUAGCACCAGUCCUUUUUCUUCACCAGUGUACUCGUACGAAAAAAAUGGUAGUUGGAGAUUUUGCACGGAUUAUCGCGCACUAAAUAAUGCAACUAUCAAGGAUCGGUUCCCCAUUCCAACCGUGGAGGAUAUGCUUGACGAAUUAUAUGGAGCGGCAUAUUUUACGAAACUGGAUUUACGAGCUGGAUAUCACCAAGUAAGGGUCAAUCCUUCUGAUAUUUCUAAGACUGCUUUUCGUACUCAUAAUGGCCAUUAUGAAUACCUCGUUAUGCCUUUUGGCCUAUGUAAUGCACCUUCCACAUUUCAGGCCAUCAUGAACACUAUUUUUCGACCUCACCUUCGAAAAUUCAUUCUAGUUUUCUUCGAUGAUAUCCUUAUCUAUAGUACUACAUGGGACAAACAUGUGGAACACAUUGCACAAACUCUGCAGAUUUUAAGACAACAUCAGUUUUUUGCUAAAGCUAGCAAAUGUGUUAUCGGCCAACAAGAAUUGGAGUAUCUGGGGCAUAUCAUUACACCGCAAGGAGUGAAAGUUGAUGACCAAAAGAUUACAGCCAUGCUUGCAUGGCCUCGACCUACUAAUAUUUCUGAAUUGCGUGGUUUUUUAGGAUUAACAGGUUAUUACAGGAAGUUCGUCCAAAAUUACGGCAUCAUUGCUCGACCCCUUACCAAUCUAUUAAAGAAGGGGAAAUUUGGAUGGCAUGAUGAGGCAGAGGCAGCCUUCUCAGCUCUCAAGCAAGCCAUGACAACCACUCCCACUUUAGCCAUGCCUAAUUUCAAUGAUUCAUUCACAAUUGAAACAGAUGCUUCAGGAGAUGGUAUUGGUGCGGUUCUAACACAGCAAGGCAAACCCAUCGCCUACAUGAGUCGGGCACUGGGAGUCACAAAAAAAUCCUGGUCCACCUACGCCAGAGAAAUGCUUGCAAUUGUAGAAGCCAUCCGUUUAUGGCGUCCUUAUAUACUGGGAAGAAAAUUCUUCAUUGAAACCGACCAGCGUAGCUUGAAGUAUCUACUGGAUCAACGAAUAGCAACACCAGAACAGCAAAAGUGGGUAGCCAAACUACUGGGUUAUGACUAUGAAAUUCGUUAUCGUCCAGGCCGCGAAAACUCAGCUGCAGAUGCACUCUCCCGCAGGCCAAACAGCCCCACACUUCAUCAUUUGCACGUGGCCACCGUAACCUUGUGGGAUGAAAUCAAAGAAGCAUACAUUGGGAAUAAAUACAUUCAGUCAGUAGAGCGGGUAGCCAAGGCUCAACCCAAUGGACCAUAUUCACAACGCCAAGGAUUGUGGCUAUUCAAGCACAGAGUGAUAAUUCCUACAUGUGAACUGCUACGCACCAAGUUAUUGUAUGAAGCACACAAUACCAAGAUUGGCGGACACUCUGGAGUCUUACGAACAGUCAAACGACUAGCUCAUCAAUUUUACUGGCCUAAGAUGCAACAAGAUGUCCAAGAAUAUGUCCGACGCUGUGAAGUAUGCCAAAGAAUGAAAUCAGACACUCUUUCCCCUGCUGGACUCCUACAGCCUUUACCCGUUCCGUGUCAAGUUUGGGAUGAUAUUACUCUUGAUUUCGUUGAAGGAUUGCCAACCUCCCAUGGAAAAGAUACAAUCUUAGUAGUGGUUGACAGGUUAAGCAAAUUUGCCCAUUUCUUGCCCUUAUCCCAUCCAUUUACUACAAAAGGAGUAGCUGAAAGAUUUGUGGAAGGAAUUAUUAAGCUACAUGGCAUUCCUAAAUCAAUCAUUAGCGAUCGAGAUCCCAUCUUUAUCAGCCAAUUUUGGCAACAGUUAUUUCGCUUGUCAGGGACACAACUAAAACUCAGCUCUGCCUAUCAUCCACAAACAGACGGCCAAACCGAGGUGGUAAAUCGAUGUGUUGAACAAUAUCUUCGCUGCUUUGUUCAUCAAUGGCCGCGCAAGUGGAGCACCUAUAUUCCUUGGGCUGAGCUCUGGUAUAACACCACAUUCCAUGCCUCUACUAAAAUGACUCCAUUUCAGGCAUUGUAUGGUCGACUGCCUCCUCUCCUUCCCAAUUACCAGGGUGGUGAUGCGUCGGUGCAUGAGGUGGACAAGAAUCUCAUGUCUAGAGAUGAGUUACUAAGUCACCUAAAGACAAAUUUGGAGAAAUCCAGCAAUCGUAUGAAGCAGACAGCAGACAAAAAAAGAAGGGAGGUGACUUUUGCAGUAGGUGAUAUGGUGUUUCUCAAGUUACACCCCUAUCGACAACAAUCGGUUUUUAAACGUGUGCACCAAAAGCUUGCAAGUCGAUUUUACGGCCCUUAUCCAGUAGUUCAAAAAAUCGGCGCAGUUGCUUACAAACUUCAACUACCAGAGGGCAGUCGUAUUCACCCGGUCUUCCACGUCUCUCUACUCAAGAAAUAUGUGGGCGACCUAGUGGUGUCAUCUACAGAAUUACCACCAGUGAAUGAUGAAGGCCUAAUUAUACUGGAACCACAACAGAUUUUGGACACUCGCUGGGUCAAACAGGGAAACAAAUUUGAAGAGGAGAGCUUGAUUCAGUGGCAACGACUACCAGCAGAGGAGGCCACAUGGGAACUAACUAAGUCGUUGCUUGAGCAAUUUCCACACAUCAACCUUGAGGACAAGGUUUUGCUUGGUGGGGGAGGUAUUGAUAAGCCACGAUCUGAAGAAUCUCAAAGUCCACGUCAUUCUAAGAGGAUCCAUAAACCAAAUCCCAAAUAUCUGGGAUGAGCUGAUCGUGAGUUAAUGCAUGCAUAACGGAAGAAGCCAUUAAACAGGGGUCGUGGCUAUCAAGGAGUAAUGGAAGGAGGGGUUACACCCGUUAUAUCACCAUUUAUGGUCAUCAGUUAUAUCUUAAUUAAUUCCAAGUUAUUAGUAGCUUUAUUGUUCCCUUUGUAUUUCAGUUUUAUUUGUAAUUCACUUUGGCUAUUUAAGCAGCUAAAGUUUUAAUAAGAAAAGAUAUAUAAUUUCAGUAAAAAAGUGUGGUUUAGUUCUCACCCGAAGAGAACCUUUAUAAUAUUGUGAUGGGACCUAACAUUGGUAUCAGAGCACGUUAUGGGAACCAACAAGGAGCGUAUUGAGCACCUGGAAUCUGGACUUGGGAUAGUUCAAGAUGGUCUUCAGAGAAUGGAGUUGGGAGUGAAUGAUAAACUCCAACAUUUGGAAGACACUCUUACUCGACUUGCCAAUAUGUUGAGGGCAAAUCUACGAGAGAAACAAAAUGUACGAGAGAACACAACCCCAUCAUUGAAGCUGCUAUUUAUAUAUAUAUAUAUAGACAUGAUCUAAUGCUAGCAAGCUGCGAAUCAUAUAUUUUAAGCAGCACACAUUGAGAAAUGAUUUCAGUCUCAUCUUGCCUUUGGGUCAAUUAUUUCAGAAAACACACCCCUUGCUCUUUGAUCUGGAUCACUUUGGGUGACACUUUCACGAGUGCUAACAGUGCUCCUUGAAUGUGACUCCGCUCCACUAAACAUGUCAUCGUCAUCAGUGGUCAUGGCAUCUCGAUGUGGUGAAAAUGAGCUUUUAUUUUCCAUAUUGAUCCCUUCUACACUGUUGGCAUUUUUCUCAGCAGAUUGUUGAAGCUGCAAUGCAAAUUCAAGGCCCCAAACGACAUCACCCAUUUUAGGGCGUUCAAUUCCUUGACCAUGUAAGCAACUGUUAGCAAUCUCUGCGAACUUAUUUAAAGAGACGGGGGCAACCUCGCCCUUUAAAUGUGGAUCCACGAUCUGAUCAAGGGUUCCUCUUUGGUAACAUUUUCGUGCCCAGUCAGCUAAGCUUGCUUGAUCUUUCGGUGAACUUGGAAUCACUGGUGGCCUUGCACAUAGCACCUCAAACAAAACCACACCGAAUGAAUAAACAUCAGAUUUUCUGUCAGGUGUUGCCUACGGUAGUACUCUGGAUCCACAUAUCCAAUGCUACCUCUAACUACAGUGCUAACAUGGGUUUGGGAUGUACUAGUGGGACCCAAUCUGGACAGCCCAAAAUCUGAAACCUUAGCCACCCAAUUCUCAUCUAACAAUAUGUUUGUUGACUUCACAUCACGGUGAAUGAUUGUGUGCUUUGCUCCUGAAUGAAGAUAAUGCAACCCUUUUGCAGCACCGAUGCAUAUUUCUAGCCUUUGCUUCCAUGGAAGAGGAGAGUUCUUUGUUUUGUAUAGAUGUUCUCUAAGAGUGCCUCUUGACAUGUAAUCGUAUACAAGGAUCAUCUCGCCAUGAUCAUCACAGUAUCCAAUCAGCGACACUAGAUGGAGGUGGCGCAGAUUGGAUAACAUCUCAAUCUCUGUCUGGAACUCACGUGUCCCUUGCUUUGAUGAUGAAUCUAGUCGUUUGAUGGCUACUGCACCGUAUUCAAUGUAUCCUUUAUACACAGUACCAAAUCCCCCUGAACCAAUAAUAUUUUGAUCAUCAAAGUGUCCUGUUGCUUCGUUGAUUUCGAAAAAUGUAAACCGUCGGCAAAGAUCAGUAGGAGUGAUGAAGAGAUUGUAGUCGUGGACCUAGAUGUUUGUGAUAUUAGAGUCCAGGAGGAUUUUUCCUCACUCUUGCUAGGGUCCUUGACUCGCUUCUGCUUGAAAGCAAAGAAAUAAAGAAUAAGAGAGCAAGCAAACACUGCACCUAUGGAACCUCCAACGAUGGCUAUAACCGUAAGUAUUGAUGAUCUUUUGCCCGUUCUUCUGUCUUGUAGACUUGGAUGUUGUUCUGCUGGUGGAGGAGCCACUGUUGGCUCAGGGUUGAAUCCUGCAAGAUUUCCGUCUGUUGUAUUCAGCUUGAAUAUUUCCAAGCCAUUCAAGAUUGCAUCAGCAUAAGUAGGUUUCAGUUCCAUGUUAGGGUGUAGUUCGAGCCACAAGCCCUGCUUGCUCUGGCUCCCUGAGGGACCAGCACGAUGUAGUCUUUGUAAACUGGAAUGCCGUUGCCACCGCUCAUAUGGAUCACAUCUGCAUCAUGGCUGUGCUAUUUGAUUGUUGAUGAAUAUUAAAAAUACCUGUUGAUUUUCAGUUUUGAACUCCAUUCGAGUCUCACAAAAGUGGAGUCUAAGGAGAUAAUUGAAACCAGCAUCAACUGGGAAGAUCCAUGUGAGAUUGUAAUUCAUGUUAAGAAGUGGUUCAGGACCCAUAGAACGCAUAGUACUAUAUACCAUAACAGGUGCGGAGUAAGCUGGCGUUUUGGUUGUGUACUCUAUCUUGACGCCUGAGUGAUAUGGAGUGUUUCCAGCUUUUCCAAAGAGAUACCCUGAAUCUUGAUGCCAUGUCCUGUACAUUCCAGUCUUGUCUCCAGUGCUGCUGAUAUCUUGCCCCCCAACAUUCAGUCGAUAAACUGUCUCAAGCGCAGUUGUGUUACCCAGAUAGAAGGGGGCGGUGCCCACAUAGGUCGGUGGAUUAUCAUCGCCACGAGCAUAGAAGCUGUCUGGCAUGGAAACGAUUUCGAUACCAUUAACGAAGGCAAAAGAUGCUGGAGACGGAAUGAAGGUUAAUUCAAGCUUCUGGUUGUCCCACACGGUGAUGAUGAACUCUUUGGUGAAGUAGUCAACUGGAGGUCUUAUAGCAGAAACUGUAAGAGAGGCACUAAAGUUGUUUAGUAGCUUGUAGUUGUUGGCACUAAGCGAAAAAUAGGAUUUGGAUAUAUCAAGAUUUGAGUAAGAAGAUGGAUAAAAGUAGAGACGCACAAAUUUUGGGCCAGGCAAGACUGGAAUUGUGUAAGUGAAUUUAGAGUGAAGAAUACGGGCUGUCAUGUAUGGGACUUGGUCGACAGAGGGGUCUUGAGUGGAGGCUUCAAACACAGAUGAGGCUUCUGGGGGGUUAGAGGCAGCAAACUUAGACUGGGAAUCACCAUCCCAACUGCGACCAUCUGGAGAUGACAAAUUAGAGGAUGCACCACAGUUAAGGAGUAUUAGAUCAGUGGGGCUGUAUGGCAGCAAGUAAUCUUCAGUAGCAGUAGCAUAGAGGAAGAGAUGGAGGGGAGGGAGAAGGUAGAGAGCGAUGAAGAUGGACAUUAUGCUAUUUCUUUUGUGGAAUAAGUUGGAGUAAGAAAACCUAUGCAUUAAAUGCAAAGAUUUUGAUUUAAGGGAAGAUGAUCAGUGGCGUUUUUGUCUCCAUACAGUAUUUUUGCUCAGUUGAGAAUAAUCCAAUAAUAUAUUUGAAGCCCGGGGAGUUGAAAAUUCGACGAUAUGGCUAAUGGGACAUAUUGGUCGCUGUACUUAGUCAGCUUUGGAUGGCUGCUUUCCAUUGUGUGGUUCUGAAUUCUGCAAUAAAGACGCCAUGAAUAGUCUAUGAAACUUAUUUUUCUUUUCUUUUUUCCUUAACUUUUUCAUUGUUGGAUUAAGAUCACACACACCACUUAAUUUCUUAUUUGAUUAAUAUUCUUAACGAGGUUGAAUGUAUUUCAGGUUGGUGUUCACCAUAACAAAUGCAGUAAUCACAGCUCCGAGAUUAGGAUUCAAAAGGUGCAAAGCUUCUUUUUCCUUAUGGCCACCGCCUUGAUACAAUGAUUGUCGCAAGUGCAAGGUCUAUAUAAUCCUCACCGAUGCCUUCUGUCCAAUACACACACAUCCUCAUUAUAGGCUGGCCUUGCUUCAGUCUUCAAUAAGAAACAUCGUUCUUGUUCCUCAUGAGUAGCCCUUUCACUCGCCUCAGAUCCAUGAAGUCUCAUUUACUCCUUUCUAUUAUUCUUCUUCAAUGCUGUCUUACUGAUAAAAUGCUCUUGUUUUUGGUGUUAUAUAUUCUUCAAUGCUGUCUUACUGAUAAAAUGCUCAAAUGAGACUUCAUGGAUCUGAGGCGAGUGAAAGGGCUACUCAUGAGGAACAAGAACGAUGUUUCUUAUUGAAGACUGAAGUAUAUAUAUAUAUAUAUAUAUAUAUAUAUAAAAUUUUACACAGGCUCAAAGGAUCGACCUAUUUCUUUUUGGUUCAUGAGUGUGCCUUUUUGGGCUGAGUUUAAAACCAAAAAUCUUCUCAUCUGGUAUAGUAAUCGCUUAAUUACUACAAAACUUGGUGGUAAUGAGAAAUCUUUCUUCCCAUUAAUCGAAGAAUAAUGGAUUUACCUCUCGACAUACUUGGUGCCGAAUAAAAUCAUUAGCACUAGUGAAGAAGAGGCAAGCUGUCCUCUCUUCCCUGGAGAUGGCAAUUUGUUCUCUCUCAUCCUGUUAAGCUUGAUUUCCAUAAUUGAGGGGAAAUGAAUGGAGUUCUCGGUGGAUGAAAAAUAAUUGGAAUAAUAAAUGAAAUGAAAUUGUGUUUCAUUGUUGAAACAAUCAUGCUGAAAUCACUUCAAUCCAAGUCUCUACAUUGAAUAGGUCUAGCAAAUGUUCUUAUCUUGUACAAACAGGACACCUUAAGCAAACCUGUGAACAUUCCAAGAUCUUUUUUUCAACUUCAUAGCUUGCAAUAGAUUAAUGAGGAAGCUUCUCCAUUAAUUAGUGCACGAGAAAGACAAUCACUAGACAUCGUAUCGACAAAGCAAUUGCUUGCUAUUUUCUUCAAUUAUUAAUCAUCAUAAAGUACAUACAAAUUUUAUUGCUAUACUCAUCGGAAGCAUGAGUAGAAAGAAAGAAGAAAGAUUCAGACAGUCACCCUAGACGUAGAGCAAACUGAUCCCACCCAUCUUGGUGGAGCUCACAUAGACGGACUGGUUCACCUUGCGCUUUAUGGGUGGCUAUUCAAAUCGAAACCCACACAGACAGAUAAAGAACUGACCCCUUUGUCUCCUCUUCCUCGAUCAACUACCACGUUUGCACCGAUUGUAGUAAGUGCAGGGCCGAGUGUUAGGAUUGAUCGGUUUUGCACAGUCGCCAUAUAUUUGUGCAUUGCAAAUUGGUUGUCGUUCUAAACUAUCAUAGCUAAGAUAGUUACCCUGAGAGGCCAGUAGUCUCUGAUGCACUUCAGAUUCCAUAGAGAACUCCUCUUCAUUACCUUCACCGAUUGUGGCAUUGAAAAUGGGACUCGAGUUGCUUUCAAGAAAGGCAGCUGUAGAAGCAGAUGUGAUCACAAAAACCAGCAGGAUAGUUAAAGAGAGCCACCGGAGGAAUUCAAUACUUACGCUAGGCCUCAUCUCUUUCUGUCUGUACCCUUCUGUUACAGAGUUUGAAGAGCACUAAAUAGACGUCACUGCUAAGAAGGCUUCAAACUCUGGAUAUGGAGUGAAAGGCCAGCUUUUUUCCAUUGACUUGCUUUUUUGUGAAGACUUGGGUCUUCACAUGACUGUGAUUUUGACAUUGUGCGCUCUAAUUGCUUACAGCUGGCAAACUGGUUGGAUAAUGGUCCUUGCCAAUUCAAUCGUUUCCUCAUUGUUCGUUUGCAACCAUGAACAUUUAUUUUAGUGUUUGAUAGUGGUUUUUUAUAAUAUUUUUUAUUUAGAAAAAUAUUAAAAUAAUAUUUUUUAAAAUAUAUUUUUAAUAUCAAUAAUGCAAACACUCAUCAUGCAGCGUUUUCCGAGGGACAUCUAAUAGUUGUCGGAAACCAUGUGCGCGUCAAGUCCAUGGGCCAUCAGCUGAUGCUAAGUUUUGAAAAAAUUGCAAUUAUUUUUUUAUGGGAUCCUGCUAACAAACACUAGCAUUUCUCUUACUUUUAUGUAAUUAAAUGGUAGGGUAUAGCAGUUCUUACAAAGGGACCAUAGAAAUGUCUUUUGAACUGGUGCUAUUGGCAUACCCAUAAAUCUAUUGGCGUAACAUUUUGGAAAUGGAAUGUCAAGGUUUUUUCUUCUCUAACAUGAAAGCUUUCUCCUUUUUUUUUCGUUUAUUAAUAUUCAUAAAUUAAGAGAAAAUGUUGAUUUUUCAAUUGAAUAUACGUAAGGUAUGAAUUUGCUAUGCGUUUAGAGUACAUGAAAGACUUAUUUAUAUUAGGCUUUUUGAACUUUAAAACUAAUUAAAUUCUGCUUGAAGUUGAAAAUAUGUCAUGGAUGACGUGAUAACGUGAUAAGCACUUUUUGAAUAAUUGAAGGGGAUGGAUGUUUUGUUAAGGAUGACGUCAAUAUACACCCACACACUAUGAAGUUGAUUCAAAGAAUCAGGAUUAUAAUCUGGAUCUUCGUUAGUGAAUUUAUCCUCAUCAAAACUUGAUAUUUCGUACGAGGUUUCUUCGAGUGUUUCUUGUAUUCUGCCUUUGACCUUGAUGAUGCUAAGGUUUACUUGAAUUCGAUUUUAAGAGGUUAGAAAUGUAAAUUGUCUUUUUUAAGUUGGAGAUGAUAGGAAUUCUUGUAGCUAUGGAGUUUGUUGAGAUUGUAGCAAUAAGCUUGAGUUUCUCUGAAUUGGAUCCAUCAUUUGACUUUGAUGUAUCCCAUGAGAUCUGAAGAGUAACUAAUAUCUUUAUUUACAUCAUGCAUUGUAAUGAAAUUCCAAGAUAGCAUGAGACACCAAAGGUAGAGAUGAAAUUAUACAAAGAAACGGGAAUUGAAUUCGAAGGCAUUUUUACUAUAAACAAUUCCAAUUAUUGUGUGAUUUUUUAUGGGAGGAUUUCACUUAUAGAAGAAAAAUAUUUCCACCAAUUGUUUGAGAACCAAGUUGGUAAAUUUUUUGGACAAAUGUUUUAUCAAAAUGGAUGAACCAUAAAUGAUCAUGGUUUUAGAAAAAGAAAAUCAAACCAAGCUCGUUGAUAAUCAAAAUAAUUAUAUCUUUGAGAUUAGUAGUUUCAAGAAAAUCUUUCAAGGUGUAGGGACUUUGACUCAAUUAAGUCUUGAAAGGUUAAAACCUUUUAAAUUUUUAUUUUUGAAAAAAAUGGAUUAUUUACAUCUUCAUUAUGAGUCACUUCAGCAGAGUUAAUGUCAAACCAGAACAAACUCAUAAAAUUAUCUUGUUUUCAAUAGUUUUUCUAUAAUGAACUAAAAUUGAAAGGGGAAGAUAUAAAAAAUGAUCUUAUUUAGGUUUUCAUUGUAAAAUUAUUUUUUAAUUGGACAAAUAUGAAGAUUUAUAGUUUCUUGACUUGGAAGGUUUAAUAAGUUAAUUUUUUCAGGGAAGAUUUGGAGGGUAAUUAACACAAGUGGAAGCACAAGCAAAUACACAAUAACAAGUAGGGUAUAAAAGUUGUUACAAGGGACCAUAUAUAUUGUGUUUUGAACUGGUGCUAUUGGCAUACCCAUAAAUCUAUUGGAACAAUAUUUUGGAAAUAAAAUGUCAAAGUUUUUUUUUCUUCUUUAACAUGAAAACUUUCUUUUUUCCAUUUAUUAAUAUUCAUAAACCAGAGAGAAUGUGAUUUUUCAAUUGAAUAUAUAUAAGGUAUGAAUUUCCUAUGCCUUGAGAAUGCACCAGAGUGGUGGCCCGCGCGACACCACGGAUCGGACCAAACAUGUUUUUCAAUAUGAAAAAAAUCUUUAGGAGAUAGUUGGGUUUUUAAAAUAAAAAAAAAAUAGAUAAUAAUGUUAAACCUUGAUUAAUUUUAUAAUAUAAUAAAAAAAUUAAGCAACAAUAACAAAGAAAUAAAAAAUAAUUACAUACAAAACUGGAUUAACACACGAAACUCGUGACCUAACACAUGAGAUCAGGAUAACCCUAUAGGAAUAUGAUACCAGUAAAAAUCCAUUGUUGAAAAAGGACAUGGAAAAAAAAAUCAAAGGCAAUAAAAUAUUGAAGGAUGAAAUUAAGAAAAAAAGUUCAAAUAAAAAUAAAUCAAAAAAAUAAAAAUCAAAUCUAACAUAAAACAAAAUUAACUAAAAUAUUGAGAGAUACAAUUAAAAAAAACAAUUCAAUUAAGAGAAAGAUAUAAAAUAUUGAGGGAUACAAUUGAAAAGAUAAUUUAGUUAAGAGAAUAAUUAAAAAUCAAAAUAAAAAUAAUAGGGAUCAAAUCUAAAAUGUAAACAAACCAAAUGAGAAUUAAAUUGAAAGAAAAUUUUAAAUGCAUGCAUAAUCUAAAAUAAAUGAAAUAACAAUAAAAAAAAAGAAAUCAAAUCUAAAAGAAAAAUAAAUUGAAGUGCUAUAUAAAAUCUUACUUUUUGUUACCACACAAGCUCUCUAGAAAUUGAUCGGCAAUAUCACAAGGAUAAAAACACAAUUAUAAAAGCUAGAGCUUGGCUGUCAAACGAUACCUCAUGUGUUGUCUAAUCAAAACAAAAGUACUAACCCGUGACCGUAUAAAUUGCAUGUGCAACUGUUUUUUUUUUUAAAUAAAUUAAUAUAAUAUAUACCUAAAUACUAAAGUGCAUUUUAUCGAACUUGAUAAUCACAAAAAAACCAAAAACAAGAGACAAAAACAAAACCCCUUGACCAAGGGCAAAGACAAUUCAAAUGCAAGGACACUUCAGUUUUUCACUGUGCAUGUGAAAAGGAAUACUUGAAAGUGACCCUCUCCACUAGUCCAUUACUUUUUAUUUAGAAGGAUAUAAUGGUUAUUUUACCAUGAAAAUAAAAAAAAAAAAUUAAUAUACCCUACUUCCAAAGCCAGCAAAAUCAUUAUCUCACUAUUCCAAUCGACAUUAACAAUGAGUUUGGCUGUACAAUAAUAAACCUAUACUAAAAUGGGAGCUCUUUUAGUCUCUUCUAAUGAAAGACUUAUUUACAGGAGGCUUUUUUAACUUUAAAUCUAAUUAAAUUAUGCUUGAAGUUGAGAAUAUAUCUUGGAUAACGUGAUAUAUACACUUUUUUAAUAAUUGAAGUGGCUGAAUGUUUUGUCAAAUAUUAUUGAAUAAUUAAAUUAGGUGGAUUUUCAUAAAGGAUGACGUCCACAUAUAUAAAAGAUUCUUUUAUAUCCAUGUGUGUGUGUAACUCAGAAGAUUAGGACCAUAAUCUGGAUUUUCAUUAGCGAAUUCAUCCUCAUGAGAACUUGAUAUUUAUACAAGGCUUUUUGGAGUUUUUUCUUGUUCUGACUUUGAGCUUGAUGAUGCAAGGCUUUCUUGAAUUCGACUUUUAGAGGUGAGAAUUGUAAAUUGUCGUUCUUGAGAUGGAGUCGAUGGGGAAUGCUUGCAGCUAUGGAGUUUGAUGAGAUUGUAGCCGAGCAUGCACAACUUGAGAACAAGCUUGAGUUUUUCUGAAUUGGGUCCAUCGUUUGACUUCGAUUUUCCUCAUGAGAUCUAAAGAGUAACCAAUACCUUCAUCUACAUCAUUUAUUAUAAUGAAGUCCCAAGAUAGCAUGGGACACCAAAGGUUGAGAUGAAAUAAAAAGAGGCAUGAAUUGAAUUCAAAGGUAUUUUUGUUGUCAACAAUUCCUAUCUUUAUAUGAAUUUUUAGGGAGAAUCUUACUUAUUGAAGAAAAAUAUUACCACCAAUUGUUUGAGAACUAAGUUGGAAAAUUCUUUGGACAAUGUUUUAUCAAAAUGGAUGAAUGAUGAAUGGUCAUAGUUUUUUAGAAAAAGAAAUUAAACCAAGCUUGUUAAUAAUCAAAAUUACUGAUUGGUAGUUUUGAGAAAAUCUUUCAAGGUGCAGGGGUUUUGAUUCAUGUCUUGAAAGGUUAAAACCUUUUAAAUUUUUAUUUUUAUUUAAAAAAAAAAAAAACAGGAUUGUUUACAUCUUAAUUAUGAGUUAUUUCAACAAAGUUAAUGUCAACCAGAAUAAACUUAUAGAAUUGUCUUGUUUUCAACAUAUUUUCUAAAAUAAAUUGAAAUUGAGAGGGGGGAAUAUAAAGAAUGAUCUUAUUUGGGUCUUCAUUGUAAAAUUAUUUUUUAAUUGGACAAAUAUGAAGAUAAUAGUUUCUUGACUUGAAAGGGUUAAUGCAUUUUUUAGGGAGGAUUUAGAGAGUAAUUAACAUAAGUGGAAGUACAGCAAAAAACCAAUAGCAAGAGAAAGAAAUAAUAGUUGAAAGAGGAUGAGUAAAAGAAUCCUAAUUUAUAGUUUUAUUGAUGAAGAGAAAAAUCCACUAUUUUUUUUUGCCCCUUUAAGAUAUUUAGAAUCUUUAAAAAGUUAAAACCAAACUAAACAAAUUAAAAAAUCCCAAAGAAAAGUAACAAAAUUCCUAAACAAACUAAGAGAAAUAAAAUUAUCAUUCUCAAUAUUUAAUUUCCUGAACUAGAUAGAAAAAAAUAAAAUCACCAUAAAGAAAAUAUUUUUCUAAACUAAAUAGAAAAUAAUAAUAAUAAUAACUAAGAAAUUUUAUUUUCAUAAAAAUCCUGGCAUCAACAAUAAUGUUGUUGAAGGUGCAUUUUAAGAUUAAACAAACAAGGGUGUUUUGAGAGAUUAAAAAUAAUUUAAGUGAGGUGUUUGGACUGAGUGAUGUUGAUGAAAGGAUUCAAAAUUGAUUAUUUGAGACAAAAACUAGCCUCACAAUAGGAGGCCAUACCCUCCUUAAAGUAUCUUGAAUGCUUGAUGUUGUUGCUUGAAUUGGUUUUAAUGGUGUAAGAGUAUUUGAUUCUUUUAACUUCUUGACCGGGAUGCUCAUUUUGAGCCUAGUAAAGACUCUUUGACUUUUAUGAAUUCAAUCUUGUAAAAGUAUCUAAGAUUUGUAAAAAUAUCUAAAACAUAAUUCAGGCAUCUCAUAAACCUUUAAAGCUGGGUUUUAUCCUUGGUUUUUUCUACGGAUUUAUCAAUAAAUUUUAGUGAUCUAGUGAUUAGAGUUAUUGAUUCUUGAUACAUGUUGUAUCCUAAAAAAUAUAUUUUUAAUUAACAUCUUUAAGGUUGAGACAACUAAUCUAUUUUGUUUGAUAAUAUUGAGAAGCUUUUGUAAGUUUUCGAAAUGUUUGGUUAUUAAUUUUAAAAAUAAAAAGUCAUCAUCUAUGUAUAUAAUCAUAAAUUUUAAAUACAGAUUAAAGAUGUCAUUUAUAAUGGUCUGAAGUUUUAAAUGAGUAGUUCAAAAGGCAUUACAUCUCAUUUGUAAUGAAUAAAUGUAACAAUGAAUGUUGUUUAGUAAUGAUUUUAUUAUUAUUAUUAAAUUAGACUUGCUAGAAUCCUGACCUUAUGUCAGAUUUUGAAUAUAUUGAAGCAUUUUAAAGUCUCAUCUCUCUUAUCAUCGUGUAUUGGAUAUCUAAUAUAUUGAAGCACUUUGUUGAGAGGCUUGUAAUUGAUGACAUGUCUUAGUGCACACUAUACCAUUAAACAAUUUUAUUGACAGAUUAAUUUCGUCGGUGUAAGGCAUGACAUCUGUCGGUAAAAUUAUUACCGAUGGUCUCAUCGAUGAAAUUCGUCCGUCGGUAUACUAAUCGCCGGUAAUUUCCUAUUCCGUCGCUAAUGUUGUCGGAAUUAAAAAAAAAAACCAACCACCGCCGGUCUUACAAACGGUGACACGCUGCAAAAACAAAAUUUCCCACGAGAACAUUACCGACGGAAUAUAUCGGUCUACAUUUUUAACGGUAAUCAUCAACGGAAUAUCCAUCGGUGAUGGUGGCAUGACGGUAAAUAUUUUAGAACUCUGUAAAAUACCAACAGAAAUAUUCCGUCGGUAAUAGUAAUGGUAAACACUGACGAAAUAUGUCCAUCGGUGAUUAUGGCAUGGGUGGUAAUUGUUUGGCAACUCUCGGUAAAAUACCGACGGCCAGGAUCCGUCGGGAAAGUCGUCGGCAUGUAUUUAUAAUAUAUAUAAAAAAUAAUUUAUUAAUAGUAAAAAAGCUUAAUAAACAAAUAAAAUUGUAUUAAACAUUAAAAAUAUAAAAAUAAUGUUAAAUAUUAUUCAUCCAAAUAUUCAUUACAAAUUUAAUGUGUUUAAAAAACAAAAUUAAACUAGAAUAGCGGUAGAGCUAGAGGAGGAGGAGGAGGAGGAGGAGGAGGAGGAGGAGGAGGAGGAGGAGUUGGUUGUUCCCGGGACCGUACGACCAAAAAGGAGCUGCACAUGUAUCAUCACCCAUCCUUGAUAAUUACUCCAUGACCAUUUGAUGGAGUUGAUCAUAAUUCAUCGAGAGUUGUUCAUAUUGUUGUUUCAAGGCCAUGAACUUCUCAGACUGGGUGCUCGAUGCUGAUGGAGAGCUCCUAACGGUUGAGACACUACGGGUUGAUCGCAAUUUUUCGGUCGUAGUGUUGGAGAGCCUGUGGACUCAAUUUUUUUUGGGACCACUAGACGAUCCCACCUCCAUCCACUAAUCCGAAUCAAAAUCCGGAUAGAUCGAAGGAUCGUCCCCAUAUCUCUCCCUCAACCGUCUAUUAUAGGUCUCCUGAAAUUUUUUAAAAAAUCAUCAUAUUCAAUUCAAGAAAAUAAUAACUUACUAAAUAAAAUGAUUGAACGAACAUACUACGAAGUGCUGAGCACGGUUGUCCACAAACUACUGCACCCCUUUUUGGCGAUCUUGACUCCGCACAUGCAUCUCUACAAACAACUCCAUUGGACGUAGCUUAUAAGGAAAAAAUAGGUUGCAAUUAAGUUAAAUAUAUUUAUAAGCAACGACAAAUUAAUUAAUGAUAUAUCUCAUUAAAAUUAAUCUUACCAUCCGCUUUGCAUGUGUGCUGAACGGGACGGAGCCGUCGGUGUGCAUGGUCACCAAACCAUGAAUUUACCAGUUCCGGUUGUGGGCGCCGAAUUGUGAGCACCAUGAUAACCACUCUAAGGUCACGUGCUCAAUAUAUGUUGUCCAUAUAUCUCUCGAGAUGAAUGGCAGUUUGAAUUCCCGCCAAACCGCUACCUCAUUCCAUCCUUUAAGACCGUUAUCCCUCGCAUGUCUUUUUGAUUUUUUUUAUUGAACCAACCAGUUUAACUCGGUUUUUUUGGUUUGGCUAAGUUUUUUAUUCUGACUUGGCUCAGUUUUUUCGGUUUUAGGCUUAUAAACAUAACCGAACCAAUCAGUUUUUUAAAAUUCUAAUCGGUUUAAUAAGUUUUUUUUACAGUUCGGUUUUUUCGGUUAUUUUUUUUAUGGUUCUCUCGGUUUAAUCAAUUUUUUUAUUUUCUUGCUUACCCUUACAUAUAGGUAGUGAAAGGGAAAUUACGAAUUAUACAGAAUUGAACAAAAAAAUAGAAGGUCAAUUUUUAAAAUAGAAUGCCCACUCCGGCGUGAAAAAUGGAAUAUUAAAGGCAAAUACAUGUUGUUGGCAAAGUUCCAAGCCUGGGGUCCAGUUUCAUGCAAACAUCUAAUGCACGUUAUGAGGCAACAAAUAAAGCAGGAAGAGAAUAGACUAAAAAGAAAUCUAUAAUGUUAAAUCUAUGAUGAAAUUUAUUGGUCUAAGAUGCUAAAAAAUUAACAUGUAUUUAAACUUAUAUAUAUUAUAAUACCUCGAAAAUAUAGAGUUGAUCAAGUUCAGAAUAUGUGGACAUGCUUUUUAUAAAUUCAAAACUAGUAGAGGAAAGACUCAUAUCGUAUAUAGAAAACUUAGAUAUUUUUCAAUUAUACCUAGAAUGCAAUGACAUCAUCAUUCACAAGAUUUUGUGGAUGUUUUAUUAUAUGAUAACAUCAAAAUAUAUUGAAAGAUUAUGUAUAUAUCAUUAUGAAUAGUGGAGAUAUGAUACAAUUAAAUGAGAAUUUUAUAUAACUAGAUAAAAAUAUGAAAUAAAAAGACUAUGUGGAUGAUCUAAUAUAUAUUUUUAUAUACCAUUGAGACAUUCUAGAUCUAAAAAGAGGUCUUGUCGUGUCAAAUUAGACGAACAUCUUAGGACCAUGUCUUUUAUCAAAUUGUUAGAUUUCCCGGAUUAGGUAUCAAAACUGAAUAUUGUUAUUUGGGUUAAUUUUUUUUUUAAUUUUUUCAAGGUUUUUUUUUUUGGAUUUAUUAUUUAAUUUGAUUUAUUAUUUUAAUUUCUUUUGCUUUUUUGUAUUUCUAGUUGUUUUCUAAUAGAUGUAGGGCUUUUUUGAUCUAUUUAUAGGUCUUAUAAACCUUUUAAAAGAUAAACUUAUUAGGUUUAUUUUUAGAUAAAUAAAUCAUAAAUUUGUGUUUCACAUAUAUAAUUUUUUUUGUUCAUUAAAUUUUAUUGUGUUUUAUGUAUUGUUACUAUUCUUAUAGGUCUCUGCUGCAUCAACCAUGCUUUGAGUUGGCUAAUUGUUAUUUUUUAUUUCAUAUUAAGUAUAAACAGGUAGUGAAAGGGAAAUUAAGAAUUAUACAGAAUUGAACAAAAAAAUAAAAGUUCAAUUUUUAAAAUAGUAUGCCCACUCCGGCGUGAAAAAUGGAAUAUUUCACAUCUAAUGCACGUUGUGAGGCAACAAAUAAAGUGGACCAAUUGGAAAUGAAAGAAGUGACCUUUGAACAAAGACUUCCAAGUCGUUGGCAUUAUGCAAUCAAUAAUUCAACAUUAAAAAAUCCCAAGUUGUUGCCUUUGAAAUGUCUAAUGCACGUUAUGAGGCAACAAAUAGAGUGGACCCAUUGGAAAUGCAAGAAGACCUUUGACAGGUCGUCUGUGCUGUGUAGCAGUGACCUCUGAAAGACAUCAAAGACUUCCAAGUCGUUGGCAUUAUGCAAUCAAUAAUUCAUCAUUAAAAAUUUUGGUAACUUUCUGGAAAUGAGACGUGAGAUUUUUCGUCCUUAACAUGUGGACCUUUCUUUAUUGACUUUCAUAAAUUUAGAUAUAACUAGUAAAUUUAAGUUGUUUUAUCUUAUUAAUUUAUACACUCAUUUUAAUUCUGUACCUCCUCGAUUCCUCUGGCAUGCAUCAUCACUCCGUAAUCAUUGUAUAUGGGAACCCCAUUUCCAUCAGCCCAAGAAAUUAUAUCUGCGUAAAGCUCGGCAGUUUGAUUAGCGAUAUAUAUUUGAAAGAUCAUAUCGCCUUCCCGCAAUAUAAUCGGUAUAAACUGACAGAAAUGAAGCCUAAAAAGAUAGGUGAAUGUGGAUUGGACCGGAAACUGCCAAGUCAUAUUGUAUUCCUUAUUUACAGUAGAAUUGGGUCCCAUGGUCCUAGCAGUUCGAUAGAGUACAUCAGGUGCAGCAUAGCGAGUGAGGUUAUUAUACUGAAGUUGAAUAGUGCCAUUAUAUUGAUAAACGCUCGGUCUAGCAUCCGUCAAGUAAUCGUCGUCGUUUAGCCAACUUUGAAUAGUGCCGUUAUUUUGAUGUUGUGGAUGUUUUGUUAUGAAUAUUUGGUGAAGAUAAGAUACAACUAAAUAAGAAUUUUAUACAACUAGAUAAGGAUUGAAACAGAAAAACUAUAUUGAUAAUUUAAUAUAUAUAUUUAUAUACCAAUAAAACAUGUUUAGACCUAAAAAAAAGGUCUUGUCCCUCAAAUUGGAUAAACAUCUUAAAAUUGCAUCUCUUAUCAAAUUAUUAGAUCUCCAGGAAUUAUGCACCAAACCAAAAUAUUGUUGUUUGGGUCAAAUUUAUUUAUUUUUCCUAGUUUUUUUAUUUAUUAUUUAAUUUGGUUCUUUAUUUUAUUUUAUUAUGUUCUUUUGUAUUUCUAGUUGUUUUCUAAUAGAUGUAGGAUUUUUUUUUAAUCUAUUUAUAGGUUUUAUAAACCUCUAAAAAAAUAAACUUCAUUAGUUUUAUUUCCAUAUAAAUAAAUCAUUAAUUUAUAAUUUACAUUGUAAUCUUUUUCGCUCAUUAAAUUUUAUUGUGUUUUUGUAUUGUUACUAUCCAUAUAGGUCUAGGCUGCAUCAACCAUGCUUUGAGUUGUCUAAUUGUUUUUUUUUUUUUUUCAUAUUAAGCAUAAACAAAAAAAUAAAAUAAAAGGUCAAUUUUUAAAAUAGGAUGCCCCAUCCGGAGUGGAAACUGGAAUAUGAAAGGCAAAUACAUGUUGGUGGCAAAGUUCCAAGCCUUUGGGCCCAGUUUCAUGUAAACAUUAGGCAACAAAUAGAGGGGACCAAUUGGAAAUGGAAGAAGACCUUUGACAGGUCGUCUCGUCUGUGCUGUGUAGCAGUGACCUUUGAAAGGCAUCAAACACUUCCAAGUCGUUGGCGUUAUGCAUCAAUAAUUCAACAUUCAAAAAAAAAUCCGCACUUUCCAAGAAAAUUAACUUUCAAGACAUCAUAAUCAGACUUCUGCAUAUUUCCGUGGAAUUUUAUUUUUUAUUUUUUUUAAAAUAUGGAAAUAUAUUGGUAACGUUUUAGAAAUGAGACGCCAGAUAUUUUUCGUCCUUAACAUGUGGACCUUUCUAUAUUGAUUUUCAUAAAUUUAGAUAUAACUAGUAAAUUCACGUUGUUUUAUCUUAUUAAUUUAUACAUUCAUUUAAUUAUUAUUUAAUAUUUGUUUUUCUUAUUUUCUCUACAAUAUCACUUGAUAAGUUGGCAAGGAUAAUGAUGUCCAAUAUAUUUCAGAAAAUAAUACAUGAAAGUCUUACAAUGUUGUUAUCAAUUUACUAUUUUACUAAUACCAUACAUCUACAUGCAAUAAAUAUAUUUUUCAUUUUUUCUUAUUGUGUGGAAUUUUUUUUUUAUAAUACUCAGAAAAAAAUAAUAAUUAAAAGAAUAAGGACCAAACUAGAACAAUUUUAUUUUUGUUUUUAAUGCUUUUUUAACUUAAUUGUUUUCAAUUUUAUCCAUAUAUAUUUUAUUUAAUUUAAUUAUUUAAUCUAGUUUGGUCCUCAUUCUUUUUAUUACUAUUUUUUUUAAAUUUUAUUUCUCAUCAUUUUAUUUCGUUUAAUUUUUGUGUCCAAUUUUGGUACUCAUUCUUUGAUUGCUUUAUAUAUAUACUAAAUAUAUAUAUCAUUUUCUUAAUUUAUUUUAAUUUUCAAUUUAGUCUCUUAUUGUUUUCUUUUAUUUAAUUUUUAUGUCAGAUUUGGUCCUUAUUUUUUAUUGUUAUUUAUUUAUUUCUUAUCUAAUUUUGGAUGAUUAGGGAUUUUGCUUGGUAUUUUUUAGAGUUUGCCUUUUAUGAUUUAAUCCUGAUUUCAUUACUCAAGUCACUAGUUUCGAGGAUUAGCCCGAUUUAAAUUUGAUAUUUUUUAUACCUUUUUUUUAAAAUUGAUUAUUUUUUAAUUUUAUCAUUUAAUUUAGGUUAUUAUGUCUUGAGUUUCAUAAUUUUUUCUACUUUUCUUUUUCUAUAUCAUCCUAUGUCAUGGGUUUGCUGGGUGAACUCAGGGUCAUUCAAGUUUUAAUUUCAUUUAGUCUUGAGUUUCAUGGUUUUUAUUUAAUUCUUUUAUUUUAUCAUUCCACAUUAAAUUAUUGGGUUUUGAGCUUCAUGGUUUUUUCCUCAUUCUUUUAUGUGAGUUUAUCUUGAUCUCAUAUCAUAGGCUUAGAUUUUUUAUUGCGUUUUUAUUUCAUCAUUUGAAAUUACAUUAUUGGGUUUUAAGCUUUGUGAUUUUUUUUAAUUUUUUUUUAUGGGGUUAUCCUGAGUCGCAGGUUUGUCAAGUUAACCCGAGUUGACUUCGAGUUUUUUUUUUAUAAUCCUUUUAUUUUUCUUCGGUCUUUUUUUCUUGGUCCUUUUUAUUUUAAAUAAUUUUUUAUCCCGAUCACAUUUUGCGGGUUGCGAAUUAGUCGAGUGAACCUUGGCUCACUCAAAUUUUUUUACAUUGUUUCUUUUUAAAUUAUUUUUUAUUUCAAUUUAAUUUUUUGAUAUUAGAUUGUUAGGUCAUGAUCUUAGUGAUUUUUUCCACUUUCCUUUAUACGAGGUUGACUCGAGUUACGAGUUAAUCAAGUUAACCAGGGUGGCCUCAUUUAUUUUCUUGAUAUUUUAUUUAUUGAUUUAACUUCAAUCUUUUUUAUUUAAGUCUUUUUUUUAAAAAAAUAUUUUUUUAAUUCUAAUCUCAUAUUGAGGGAAGCGGGUAGUUAAGUGAUUUCGAGUUGACUUGUGUUUUUUUUUGAUGUUUCUAUUUUUAAAUUUUAUUUUCGAGUUUCAUUUUUUAACAUUAGGCUAUUAGGCUUGGAGCAUUAUUUUUUUUUUCGUUUUCCUUUUAUAGAAUUAUAUUAAUUUUUUAUCCUAGAUCAGAGGUUACUCAAAUUAACCUAACUUAACAUAAGUGAUCAAUGCCUUAACAUUUUUUUUUCUGUAACAUGGAUCACCAUACCAGUAAUAUAAAAAAGAGAAAUGGGGACCAAAUUCUUUUAUCUCUCUCUCUCUCUAGAGAGAGAGAGAGAUCAUUGGAGUCUAAAAGUAAAUUUGAUAUCUUCAUGAUGAAUAAAAGUACAAAAUUAGAUUAAUUGAAAUAUUAUUAGUUUAGUUAUAUAAAUAUAAAUAUUACGUAAAGUUUAUGUCAUUUAUCUACACAUAAAGAAAAUCUAAAAUCUUGGUAGAUUAAAAAUCUUUUUUCUCUUGUGAGCAUAAACUCUCUUUUUUUGUUUUUGUUUUAGCUAGAAGUGGUAAAAAAGAGAUAUACAGAGGAUAUGAGAUUGAUCAGCUCUUUUUAAUAUGCAGAGAGAUUCAAACCAUUGACGUAAUCAAGAUUUUACUAAUUAAAGGUUUUGAGCAUUUAGCUAAAUAUAUGAUACAAUAAAAUAAGAAUUUUAUACAACUAGAUAGAGAUUUGAUCUAGACAAACUAUAUAGAUGGCCUAAUAUAUAUUUUUAUUUAUCAAUGAGAUAUGUCUAGGUCUAAAAGAAGGUUAUGUAGUGUCAGAUUAAGUUAACACCUUAAAACUGCAUCUCUUAUGAGACUAUCGGAUUUUCAGAAAACACACCCCUUGCUCUUUGAUCUGGAUCACUUUGGGUGACACUUUCGCGAGUGCUAACAGUGCUCCUUGAAUGCGACUCCGCUCCACUAAACAUGUCAUCGUCAUCAGUGGUCGUGACAUCUUGAUGUGGUGAAAAUGAGCUUUUAUUUUCCAUAUUGAUCCCGUCUACACUGUUGGCAUUUUCCUCAGCAGAUUGUUGAAGCUGCAAUGCAAAUUCAAGGCCCCAAACGACAUCACCCAUUUUAGGGCGUUCAAUUCCUGAAACAUGUAAGCAACUGUUAGCAAUCUCUGCCAACUUAUUUAAAGAGACAGGGGAAACCUCGCCCUUUAAAUGUGGAUCCACGAUCUGAUCAAGGGUUCCUCUUUGGUAACACUUUCUUGCCCAGUCAGCUAAGCUUGCUUGAUCUUUCGGUGAACUUGGAAUCACUGGUGGCCUUGCACAUAGCACCUCAAACAAAACCACACCGAAUGAAUAAACAUCAGAUUUCUCUGUCAGGUGUUGCCUACGGUAGUACUCUGGAUCCACAUAUCCAAUGCUACCUCUAACUACAGUGCUAACAUGGGUUUGGGAUGUACUAGUGGGACCCAAUCUGGACAGCCCAAAAUCUGAAACCUUAGCCACCCAAUUCUCAUCUAACAAUAUGUUUGUUGACUUCACAUCACGGUGAAUGACUGUGUGCUUUGCUCCUGAAUGAAGAUAAUGCAACCCUUUAGCAGCACCGAUGCAUAUUUCUAGCCUUUGCUUCCAUGGAAGAGGAGAGUUCUUUGUUUUGUAUAGAUGUUCUCUAAGAGUGCCUCUUGACAUGUAAUCGUAUACAAGAAUCAUCUCGCCAUGAUCAUCACAGUAUCCAAUCAGCGACACUAGAUGGAGGUGGCGCAGAUUGGAUAACAUCUCAAUCUCUGUCUGGAACUCACGUGUCCCUUGCUUUGAUGAUGAAUCUAGUCGUUUGAUGGCUACUGCACCGUAUUCAAUGUAUCCUUUAUACACAGUACCAAAUCCCCCUGAACCAAUAAUAUUUUGAUCAUCAAAGUGUCCUGUUGCUUCGUUGAUUUCGAAAAAUGUAAACCGUCGGCAAAGAUCAGUAGGGAGUGAUGAAGAGAUUGUAGUCGUGGACCUAGAUGUUUGUGAUAUUAGAGUCCAGGAGGAUUUUUCCUCACUCUUGCUAGGGUCCUUGACUCGCUUCUGCUUGAAAGCAAAGAAAUAAAGAAUAAGAGAGCAAGCAAACACUGCACCUAUGGAACCUCCAACGAUGGCUAUAACCGUAAGUAUUGAUGAUCUUUUGCCCGUUCUUCUGUCUUGUAGACUUGGAUGUUGUUCUGCUGGUGGAGGAGCCACUGUUGGCUCAGGGUUGGAUCCUGCAAGAUUUCCGUCUGUUGUAUUCAGCUUGAAUAUUUCCAAGCCAUUCAAGAUUGCAUCAGCAUAAGUAGGUUUCAGUUCCAUGUUAGGGUGUAGUUGGAGCCACAAGUUCCUGCUUGCUCUGGCUACCUUGAGGGACCAGCACGAUGUAGUCUUUGUAAACUGGAAUGCCGUUGCCACCGCUCAUAUGGAUCACAUCUGCAUCAUGCUCCGCUAUUUGAUUGUUGAUGAAUAUUAAAAAUACCUGUUGAUUUACACUUUUGAACUCCUUUCGAGUCUCACAAAAGUGGAGUCUAAGGAGGUAAUUGAAACCAACAUCAACUGAGAAGAUCCAUGUGAGAUUGUAAUUCAUGUUAAGAAGUGGUUCAGGACCCAUAGAACGCAUAGUACUAUAUACCAUAACAGGUGCGGAGUAAGCUGGCGUUUUGGUUGUGUACUCUAUCUUGACGCCUGAGUGAUAUGGAGUGGUUCCAGCUUUUCCAAAGAGAUACCCUGAAUCUUGAUGCCAUGUCCUGUACAUUCCAGUCUUGUCUCCAGUGCUGCUGAUAUCUUGCCCCCCAACAUUCAGUCGAUAAACUGUCUCAAGCGCAGUUGUGUUACCCAGAUAGAAGGGGGCGGUGCCCACAUAGGUCGGUGGAUUAUCAUCGCCACGAGCAUAGAAGCUGUCUGGCAUGGAAACGAUUUCGAUACCAUUAACGAAGGCAAAAGAUGCUGGAGACGGAUUGAAGGUUAAUUCAAGCUUCUGGUUGUCCCACACGGUGAUGAUGAACUCUUUGGUGAAGGAGUCAACUGGAGGUCUUAUAGCAGAAACUGUAAGAGAGGCACUAAAGUUGUUUAGUAGCUGGUAGGUAUUGGCACUAAGCGAAAAAUAGGAUUUGGAUAUAUCAAGAUUUGAGUAAGAAGAUGGAUAAAAGUAGAGACGCACAAAUUUUGGGCCAGGCAAGACUAGAAAUGUGUAAGUGAAUUUAGAGUGAAAAAUACGGGCUGUCUUGUAUGGGACUUGGUCGACAGAGGGGGUCUUGAGUGGAGGCUUCAAACACAGAUGAGGCUUCUGGGGGAUUAGAGGCAGCAAACUUCGGCUGGGAAUCACCAUCCCAACUGCGACCAUCUGGAGAUGACAAAUUAGAGGAUGCACCACAGUUAAGGAGUAUUAGAUCAGUGGGGCUGU